rnacentral:lncRNA from 1 species
UUCGGAUAGAGAGGACCAGUUGCAAAGACCCUAACCAAAAUCAUACAAACAGAAAUGGCAGACAAUUCAGAUUAGUUCCACAGAAAAAAAGUAGGGCUUUAAAACAUAACCUAUGCACACAUUCAUUGAGCCAAAACCUGCAUUUAUGCUAUAACUGUCAUCAAAUGUGGCCUUCGCCAUUCAGGUCCAACCAAUUAUCAUCUGGGGCGAUGCUUUUCAUAUCCAAGCCAAAGCAGAAAUUUGUAAAAAUGAAUAAUUAUAGAAAAGUAAAAGUUUUAAAGCUUGGCAUUCUAGGAAAAAGUUAAAAUUUUAUCCAUUGCAGAGCAAAUAAAAAUAAAAUCUUUUAUGCCAAGGGAUGUUAGUUGUGCCUAAAGCACAAACUACAAAUAUCAACUCUUAAGAAUCUAACUCAAUUCAAAAGAAUUGAAUAAUGCCACAGAAUAAAAUCUUUUUGCUAGUUGGAGUCAAAAUACCUUCACAUCCUUUAUCAAAUUGAAGGAAGCAAGAUUGAGCACAGGUACGAGCAGAAGCAACAAAUCCUUCUCCUCCGUUCAGUAACUGUUCCAGACUGGUUUUAAAGCUUUCCAGUGUGUUGGAAUACAAAUAUUCCAACAUGGUAUCAUAAGCAUUGCGUACCACCUACAUUUUUAAAAAAUAUAAGAGUUUUGUAUUAAGGAACUAAAAGACAGUAUAAAGUUAUGAAUAUGGAGAAUAUGAUAUUCACAAAGAAGAGACAGAGGAAAAAUAAAAAAAGGGUUGCAAAAGAAACAAAUACCAAGUUCACAACUAGAGCCAUAUAUCCAACAUCAAAAGAGAAGCUUUAAUUCAGUUUCGUAAUGGGAAAAGAUUGGUUGAAAAAUCAAAAAAGAAAAAUAUACACACUCGAGCCUUACCUCCAACGCUUGUGACUCCAUUUGCCGCCGUUUUGCAUUCCGUACAUGUUGGUCAAAAUGAAUCACCUCCAUGUCAUAUCUAUUAAGAAAAUACAAGCAAUUGAGAGAUUCUGCAUCAUGUUGAACAAGAAGCAUACUCCAAGACUUUAGGCACACAAUGCUGACAAUUGGUUAGGAAUUUUAAGCAAUCAAAGGCUAUGAGCACCCGAGUUUAACAAUUGAGGAAAUCAAGUUGGAUACCACAAUGAUAUUGAACAAGGUACCACAUCAUUGUGGAGAAUUGACACCAGUUACUUACUGUGAAAGAUAGGUUUCCAAUAUAGAAUCGAGGGUGGCUCCAAACCCAGAUACUGGACCAUCUUGAACAUCCUCCUUCAAUGCCAACCAAUCCUGUAAGGAAUCAAUUUAGUCCUGUCUGAUAUUCACUAGUAGAAGUAACAUUCAAAGACGGAAAGAGAAAAGAAAAGGAAAAGUUAGAUUCAAUUAAGUACAUCAUCAGUAGUAAAUUGUCUGAGCUUCUCCUCGGCAAUCUCUUCACAUCGAACAGUAGCGACCAUCACCUGAAAACCAAAAUGGAGAAAUAUAUUCACAUGAAACCCUGACUAUAUAUAUUCACACAUGAAAAAGGCUCUUAUAAACCUUAAGAGCAGGGAGAUCUAGAUCCUUGUUAUCUUUUAUGGUUUUCCAUAUCUUCUCUGCACGGAUAAAAAAUCCCGAAGAAGGUUCAGCUUCCCUCUGAUCAGUAAGACCCCCUGGAGAAAUGAACCGCUGCCUUAGACGAGCAACCUGUAAAAAACAUCAUAUUAGGCUACAAGCAUGCAAUUCCAGUUUGUAAGAGUCAAUGAUGUCAAUAAAAUGCAGUUAAGCAUUAUAGAUUAUUGAGUGUGUGUGUGUGUAUAUAUAUAUAUCCAACUUAUUUCCUAAACAAACAGGAUUUACAUGACUAAAAUUGGAGAUAAUACGGCCAUGUCACAAACUUGUUAGAUUCAACAUUAUCACAUGACCUGAUGGUCAUUGUGUCAUCAUCAUGUUAUACACUCCCAAUGUUUAUAUAUCACUCUCUAUGUUACAUGUACUGGGAAAACACCAGUCAAAGCAUGAUUAAGUGUAAUAUAUAAGCACAAGUGAUUUAGUAUCAUGUCUAAACUAAUUAUUGAUUGAUUAUAGAGUUUACGGUUAAUUUUUAAAUUAACAAGUAAAUUAAAGAGACGGACUCGUGGACUUGAAGCAGGUCUUCACUUCCAGCUAAACCUGUUCUACAGAGCUUGAAUCAUGCAUCUUUUUGGACAGUGUCCGAACACUUGCCAAGUGUCUCCCUUGUCAAUAAAAACACAACUAACAUCCCUCUCUAAUUGAUUUUUCUCACAUUUUUUCUACACAAUCAAUCUCUCUUAAACUUCAUAGUUUUCUUUCUAAAUAAAUUACAUAUCAAUUUCUUUUUCUAAAUCUUUUACAUGCCGCUUCCAUCAUUCCUUUUGGGGAAGAUUCACCUAUCUCAUGGAAGGAUGUCACAUCCUGCUCUACUUGCAACACAUACCCCCCAUUAUAGCAAACACCAUGGAUUUUGACUUUCAAUUCAUUUGCUGAAUAUACACAAAGCUAGAAAUUGUUCAGAACCUUAAUUCGAGAAAAAAAUGACAAAGAAAACUCUAGAAAAACAGAAAUGUUGAACUUUAGUUAAUUUUGAUAAUUUAUAAGUUGCUAUUCUUAGUGCAUGGAGUAUAAUUACGGUUGCUUUUCAAAGUGAUUUUCAUUCUAAAAUACAUUAAAAUAAUAUAUUUUUUUAUUUUUUAAAAAUUAUUUUUAAAAUCAACGCAUCAAAACAAUCUAUAACAUAUAUAAAAAAAUUAAUUUUUAACAAAAAAAAUUUAAACAUUUUAAAAACACGAGUUGACCUGCCUUUCCAAACGCUCACUGGUAUAUAGCUACCUGCUCUUUGAAAUUCUCCUCUUCAAAUUCAUAGCUAGACAAAGCAGCGAUCUCCACCUUCAUGUCAAUUAGUAGAAGUGAAUUAAGUUAUAUUCCAAUUAAACAAAAUAUUGCAUAUGAAGCAUACAUGUCAAUGGCAUGAAUAAGGGACAUGGAGAUGGAGAUGAUAACUUACGCACAUUAAAAAAAUCACUGAGAACAACACUCCUGGAAGUCUCAGGUUCAGCAACAGAAUCCCAUAUCUGUAGAGAUUGUGACUUAAUGCUGGAAGAAACAAACAAUUGACCCAAAAAGAUAGGGGCAUAAAUUGAAUAUAAGUAAUACGCACAGAAGUACCUCAUCUAUAUCUUCUUUGAGAGCAGUCUCCAAAUAUUCAAAUGGAGUCUCCAUAGACAAUAAAAAAAAGGGGUGUAGAUUCAGUAUUGGACCAAAUGAUGCAUUAAAAGAAUGGAACACAGGGUGAUUCGUUUCUUCUUUGAAGAACAUAAAUUCCAUACCUUUGAGUGAUCACGUAUAACAAAUAGCAAUGUUCUUUUACGGGGCUUGAAUAAACGCUUCAUCACCUGAAUGCAAGACAUAUAAUAGAUUAUCACACAUAACAUAUAAACCUAAGACAAGGAAUGCUCACCAUAGCCAAACGGCUAGAGUGUUGGCUCUGCUACCAAAUUAUGUUAGGUGCAAUACAUCACACACAAGGCUUAGUGAACGCAGCAGAACAAACUCUCAGUAAAUACAGCUAAACACAGAGGGCUCAGUUAAGGAGAAAUAGGCAUAUACACUAGAUAUGGAAGAGGCUGUCAUUAUUUAUGCAUAUUUGACUGCAUAUUCUCUAUAUAAUCUAAAUCGGUUAUUAGCUUCUUCUAGUGGUAAGUUCGUACAGCUUAAAAACUGUUUAGGGGUAAAUGCAGAAUGCUUUUCAACAUGACGCACCUGGAAAACUGUUUUCAAAAGAGGUCUGCUGGCUGCAUGUUCCAGACCGAUGUCUUUGUACCACCUGUAUAUUAGAUUAACAUAGUGAUAAACAUGGGUUGAAUCUUACUAGUAGAACGGCGAGGGCGCAUGAAAGGGCACGUCUUGCCUUGAAAAAAAUAGCUAGCUGUAAAUUCUAGCCUGACAAUUUAGAAAGUGUCUUAAUUGUACGUGUAAUAUAUCCAAAAUGAAGAACAAAAAUUAUCCACAAGUUCAAAAUAUGGAAAAAAGCAAUCUUGUUUGUCCUUCUUGACUGGACAGCUGAUAAGUUGAAAUAUAAGCGUCAUCUUCAUCUGAUUAGCGCCAUGUGGAAAUCAAAGAAGAAACAGAAAGUUGUUUAAGAGACCAUAACCCUGCUGGAUAAUUUCUUCAAAUCAUACAAAUAAACAAUUAGCCAAAUGGCUAAAGAAAUUAUUUCAAGCCAUAAAAAGACUUUGGGACUGCGAUAUGAACCUGCAAAUCAUGGAAGACUACAACAAGAGGUUUUUUUGGCCAAACCUAGACAUAGGGCCAUGCCAGUAGAAGAAUGACUACUAAAAAACGCUAAUAACAUACAAUGGUUAACAAGGACAAUGACUGUCACGGCCACCCCUGACUAUUCCAGUCCCGAGUGCGAACAAGUACCAAACAUGUCUAGCAGAAAAGGAAUCUAAAUAUUGUAAUGCUGAGCAUACCAAACUCACAUGUUAAUCAAUAUAAUGUCAGCAAUUGCCAAAGCAAACAAGGCACUUUGUCUCUCGAACGCAGUGUUGUCCUGAAACAGCACACAUCCCAGAUUACAAGUAGUACCAAGAUUUUUGCAUAGUAUUAGCCUUCUAUAAGCAUGCAGUCACAGCUUCAAACCGUAAAGUAGUGACCAUUCAGUAAUGUCUGGGCUCAGCAUUCGAUAAGAAAUACAAAACUUUUGAGAUUGGAACCGGUUUCGAGUAUCACAGGAAUUGAAAAAAAUAAAAUGCAACAAUCAAACUAUUCCCAAUAUAUAUAAGAAAAAUCAUAAUCAAUACAACAUAAAGCACUCAUAAAUUCCUAUAGAUCCUCCCGUUAGUGUUGCACUCAUGAUUUGAGAUGGUGAGAAGUUAAACUACAGAGUCAUUUAAAAGGCAAAACAUGGGCUGGGCCCCAUCUGUUAACUUUAACAUUAAUACUGUAGAUUACUCGAAGUUUUACGACAUGGCAGAUGAAAUUAAAAGUUGAGUGAUGGAUAGAUCUGUUGAUUUAUUAGAAACAAAAUACCAUAUCAAACACAACAUGUAACAAGCCACUACUGGCAGAACAAAGCUAAAAUAAGAGCACCAAUAAAAAGCACUAAGUACCUCGCCUCUCGCUUUGCUGUCGGUUCCCUCGAAAUCCAUGGCAAUUGUGAAAGGCUUCAUAUCAUUACACUUGGCAAUCCAAAUGCCCUUGGUUGUUUGACCUCUGAAACAUGUAUAAGCAGACUGUCUUCCUCUUUCGUUUAUACAAAGAACUACAAAAACACAAAUUCUCCCUUCUAAAACUGUAAAAUUGAAAAAACCAAAAAUAUCAAACCUUCGUUUGUAUGCAUCCAGCAUCUUGAAAUUGGUACCGAAGACAUGAUUCAUCAGGGUGCUCUUCCCUGUUAACAAAGAAUGCGAAUUAAACUAUACAUGCGUGUGAUCAAACUCCAGGCUCUAACUGUGAUUGCUGUCAAUAUCAAAUGUACCCUUGAAAGCAAAAUUCAAGGGACACACGCUUGAUGUCAUUCGCGCAUCAACAGACCCAAAACCCAUAAUUUCGCAAACAGAACAGAACUAAACUCAAAGCCCAACAAGUUCAAUUUUGCAAAAAAAAAAAAAAAAGCAGCCACAAUCUGGGUUAUGAAGUUUCAGAGAGACCAUUUCUAAUCAACUUCACAUAAAGAAAAAGUACAUGGUAUAAUCUGAUCAACUUCACAUGAACAGAAACAAAGGGUCACCAGUCACUAAGAAGUAUGAACUGAGAAGAACAGAAACAUACCGCUGCUUUGUUGGCCAAUGAUGGCGACAAUAGCAUAGGAGAGACCGCACUGGGCAAACCCAGUGGCUGUCAUGAAGUCUUUGAGCCCUUCCACGUUGAACUUUCCAUUUCCAUCAAUCAGCUGCAUGCCUUCCUCCAUUUUCAUCACCGAUCAAACCCAAAAAACAGCAACUUCUUUUGAAGUCUUCUUUCCCAGGGUUAUGCUUUUUCUUCGGACUGCUUACAAACAGCACCAGAAAAGAAAUGGGUAUCUAAUACCAUAAUAAAGUCAAUUGACUUUAUUAUGGCUGGAAUCUAAUGCCAUUAUCAUGUGAUAAUGGCAUUAGAUUCCUUCGGUUGGAAGCUCUUUUGCUUUUGAGCUCUGAAAUACGAAAAGAGAACGGGAGUUACAAUUCCUCGUUCAAGUUAGUGUUUUUGUUUUUGGGUUUUGAACGAUUAUUUUUCCUUUUGAAGUCAAAGACUAUUGUUUUUCUUGUAGCAUUUCUUUUCUUUGCUUGUAUUCUCAAGAAAUAUUUUUCAUGACAGGUUAACGUCAUGGAACUCGUAAGUCGUUACUUCGAAGAAUGUAAUAAUUUCUGCUUGUCUUGCCACCUGAAAGUGCUUGGCAAUGUAUUUACUGCAAACACAUCAUCUCAAUGAUAGUGUAAUGGCUCGUGUACCGUUGGACAAUUUAGACUGCUCUCUAUACAGAUGUCCUCCUUCUUUCUAGGUUGGCUACCAUGUUGUUGUAAAACCGUACUAUGGCUUCACAAUCGGUUCGGAUAGUGAUCUCUUCACGUCCGAGGAUAAAUAGCUCGAAUUUCUCUAGAGCUCUAUUUAUCGCCGACAUCUUUGUAUAUAGCUACGCUUUCUUUCCUUGUAGGAUUCCACUGAUCCGUAUUGUUGAGGGGUAUAGAUGUUCUUACACCAUUUAUUACCCGGGGUCAUUACCUGUCAUAAGGUUACUAAUCAUAUUGACAAAAUUAUGGGGGUUAGGGCCUGGAACUUAGUGGGAAAUACUUGCUUGUAAUUUUCCCAAGUAAGUUUAGCUGUUUCUGGGCCUCCAAGUAUUUAUACAUAUCUUGGGCCGUAUGAUUAAAUCCUCUGGAUAUAUAAUCAUUGAGAACUUUACUCUUCCAGUUCUCUAGGACACUGUCCCAAUUUUGAGGAUCUUGAGAUCCGACCUUCAACAAAGUGGGGCUGUCUAAACCAACCUCUAUUGGUCGACGCAUCCCUAUACUCUUAGUUUCAAGUCAUCUGUCCAUGUAGUGUCAUGGAUGACUAUAAGUGCGUGAGCACCAUGCCCUUUUCGGGUCAUACCUUUGAGACCAACUGCUAUUAAUCCUAAGUGUGUAAACACUUCUUUCCGGUUUAACAACUGCCUUACUGUUUCACCGUGGAUUAAGUCAAAGGUUUUGACUUGGCCGUCUGGGCAAGAUAAAGAGAACUCUCUUUGCUUAUUCAGAAAACUUGUCUGAUUACUAAAUGUAUACAAAGUUUUAGGGGGGACGAGUGUAAACAUUCCUUGCUUAAACGGAUCCCAAUCAGAACUACUUGAUCUAUGGCAAUAUCUUGCUGUGAAUCUGAUUUUGAGAACAUCUUCUCAAAGAGGUUUUUAGGUUUUCUAACCUUCCUCUCGUAUUCACUGCCAGUUGCUUUCUCGGAAAUGGUCCUGCCUAGUGCACUUACUGUUGGCAUAUUGAAUAAACUCUUGAACUUCUGUUCGUUCUGAGUUUCUACAGGAUUAUAACUUGUUCCUGGUUUCAUCUUAAUCUCUUAUAAUGGAUUUCUUUCCAAAAAUAGGAUUAGAUGAAGAAGGAUUAUAUUGGAUAAAUCUCUUAUUUUCCAAUAAUUCUCCUUUUAGCCCUUUUUGGAUCUGAACUUUUAUCGUUGUUACGAUAUUUUGUUCAAUCAUGUUAUUCUGCGCAUAUAUCAGACAUAACAUAUAUAGGAUCAUGUUCAAUUGUGAUACUAUCACUUGAAUUUCUUGGGAACUCCCAACGGCAUUUUGUAUGAUCCCUGAAGUAUUUUUUACUUCAUGCCAUUUAUCUAACCUUUCUUGGCUAGAUUUGUAGAAAUCUAUUGCGUCAGAACUGUCUAGUUUUGACCAGAUAUCUUCUGCUUUUAAGGCAAUGAUUUCUUUUUGAUCAGAUCCUCUGAUCAUGGUACUGGCUAGUUUAUCUAAUAGCUUUCCCAUAGCUUUCUUAGCUAUCAUAUUCUGAAGAGUGGUAAAAUCCAUCAGUCCUUUUCUAGAACUUGGUUUUUACCGAAUAUGACACAUUCUCUUCUUGGAGAGAAUUGCGAGAACACAUUACUAGUGCCUGUAGGUGGGUUUUUAAGAAUCUAUUUUAACCCUUCUACCUUUCUUAAAGAAGAAGAAGAAGAGGAAGAACACAUCCUGAGAUUUGCACGAGUACAAAAUGCAAGUGGUCACCUAAGAAGAGAAGGUGGAGGAACACAUCCUGAGAAUGUUGACCUUCAUUGAUUCUAGUGAUAGAGGGGAUACAAGAUUUUAUAUCGUCCAUGAGAGAAUAAAACUAAUUCGGGGCUCUUUUGGGAGUUUGAUAACUCAUGCUUAUCAGUUAGAUAUGAAGUUUUUUCUUCAGGUGGUUUAAACUAUCUCUGCAGUCAUAUUACUUGCCCAUUGAGUGCCGCUAGUUUCCAUUACAGGAGCAUGCCGAGGAGAAGUAUAAAAUUUCACAAUUCAUCAAAAAGAAAUACAAGAGCAUGCCGAGCAUCCUGUAUCUAAGAAAUUUAAUCAGACCAUCGAGAAAAAUGAAAUAUUGACAGUUUAACACACAGUCAAAUGUGUUGAAGGUAAAAAUACUUGAUAACAAUAGCAUCCAGAGUGUACCUCGAAGUUAUAAUUAAGAAAAGAAUAUAAUGAUAAAACAAUUGAAAGAGGAGUUGCUUUAGAAUAUUAUGAAGUACGGAAAGAAUCCUUUAGUUUUAUGCAUAUAAGAUAACGGUAUUGGAUUUUUAAAAAAGCAAAUAAAAAAUAAUAUGUUCAGUGUUUGGAGUCUAAGAGUGUGUUUGGUAUUGCGGUAGCUUUUGUGGUUGUGAUUUGAAAAAAGUUGUUUUAUAAAAAGUACUUUUAGUUGAGAUUGGUUUGAAAAAAUAGGUGUUUGGUUAAAACUGUGGUUGAAAUUGAGGUUGAAGAAAAAGUUGUUUAAUGUGUUUGGUUAAAAAACUGCUUUUCAAAUUGAGGUUAUAAAAUAAUUAAAAAAUAUAUAUAUAUAUAUUAAUACUAAUGAUUUUUAAUUUAAAUAUUAUAAAUUUAAUUACUGUUAUUACAUCAUAAAAUAAAUAAUAUUGAUAUCAAAUUUUUUUUAUUAUUCCAUUAAACUAUGUGCAAUGUCAUCACAUACAAAAUAUAUCCAAUAAGAACUAUAUUUUUCAUGGUUUCUUAAGCGCGCAACAACAAAAACUGAAUCUUUUGUUACGUUAUCAAGCGAUUUCCUUCUAAUUUUUUAAAUAGAACACAAUUAAAAUAAAAAUAAAAACUGAAUUUUUUUUUACUGAGCCGGACCCGACAAUAACGUAAUUGCGAUCAAAUUUCACAAAUGCUACGUCAUUACGCGAUAUCCUUCUAAUUUAUAUAGUGUUAUUAAAUAAUAUUAAGUGCUAGUUUUUCAGGAAUAAAAUUGAGAUUAAAGUAUGAAUAAAUUUAAUUUACCUUAAACUAAUUUUUUAAAUAUAUAUAUAUAUAUAUAUAUAUAUAUAUAUAUAUUCACGUGAACAAUAUGAGUGCAAUUAAUUAAAUAUACUAGUUUUUCAGAAAAAUAAUAAUUUGUUUACUAGUUUUUCAAAAAAAAAUAAUAAUAAUUGUUCAUGUGAACAGUGCGAGUGAAUUAAAAUUCACUCGCACUGUUCACUUAGUGAAUAGUGUGCAGUGGAGCAUGACUUCACUGUUCAUUGAACACCGGAGCCAUGCUCCACUGUUAACAACGGGUCAGCAGCAUGAGAAGUAACAUUUUGCUGCUUCUCAAAACCUACGGUGCAGCCUCAAAUAUCAGUAGACCCUACCAACAAAACAUCCUGCUUUUUCUUUAACUAAACACUAGGUAGUGUGGUUGCGGGUGAACCUCACCCGCAACCACACUACCAAACACCCACUAAAUACCUUCACAUCCUUGAUCAAACUUGACCAUGCAAGUUUUAAGACUUUUAACUGUGUUCGAAUACAAAUGCAUCAGCAUGGUAUCAUAGGCAUCGCGUACCUCCUGCAUAAUAUAUUGGUACAUUUGAGUUGAUCAGUAUAAGAAAUUAACAUAUAAAUACAAAAACACCCGCUCCAAAAAAAUAAAAAAAGCAAGUCAAAUCUACAAAUUUAAAUGUAGAAGCAAAAAAAGAAAGGAAAAAUCAAAUAUCGACACAUUUGACACAACCAGGGAGCUUAAGAACUUAGAAAGAGGAAAUAUACAUGCUAAGGCCUUACCAUCAACGCAUUUGACAGCAACUGUCGCCGUUUUUCAUUUCGUACUUCUUGAUCAAAAUAGACUACCUCCCUGUCAUAUCUAAUGGGAAAAAAAAUACAAAAUAAGAGAUUCCGGAUCAAGUUGAACAAGAAGUAUACUCCAAGACUGUAGGCACACUAUGCUAACUAUUAAUGGUAACAAAACAGAAACAGAAAGAGACGUUGAGACAUUAGUGGAUUAUAGAAACAAAUCAACUGCAGCAACAAGGAAGGUUACGUUGGAGGACAAGAUAGAAACAGAAAGAGACGUUGGCUGAUUAUGGAAGGAAAUCAGCUGAGAAUUAAGCUAUUUAAUGUAUCCAAUUUAAGUAACUUGUAUUGCUAUAUAAUAACCAGCAGCCCCUGCAAAAUGUAUUGCUGUAUAUUCACGUUGUUUUCUUAAGAAACAGAGAAACCUUUAAAUAUAUACCUAUCCUCUGCAAUUUUUCUCUGUUCUUAUCACAAGCAAGACCUCCCGGAGAGAUAGAAUGGAAGAACCGCUGCCUUAGCCGAUCAACCUGUAAAAUACAUCACGUAAGGGAUUUCGGUCAGUAAUAACAAUAAUAAUAGCACAACUAGGUAACCCAAAAGCAUAAAAUUCUAAUUAACUUUGGUGAUAGGAAUUGUUUAAAAAAGAUAAAAUAAAAAUAUUUUAAUUAACCAAACAAGACUUUAAAUUUUUAUAUAUUUCUAUAUAUAAAUAUUGUAAUGCCGAAAUUUAAUAUCAUUUUUUUGUGAAAAAUCUAAUUAUCAUCAUUUAUAUAUAAAAAAAAUAAUCAGCGACCUUUGGUCUAUCUGAAUAAUAAAAAUAGAUUAUAAAGUCUGAUUAACAAAUUAUGGAGUGAUAAUAACCAUUAUAUUAUUAUUAUUAUUACCAAUGGCAAAACAAUUCAUGAUACCAAUGGCUGUGAAUUCUAAUUUAUUUGGUAAAACAGAAACAAAACUAAAGCCUAAAAUACUAGAAAAACACAAUCCAUCAGUUGAAAACAAUUAAUUUACCUUGUCUUUAAACUUCUCCUCCUCUAAUUCAUAGCUAGGCAAAGCAGUGACGUACCUCCACCUUCAUUUUAUAUUAAUAAUAAGAACACAAAGAAUUAGCACCGGUCGAAAAACUAUACCAAUCAAGAAAUUUAAGUUAAUAAAUGAAACUUAAAAAAUAAUAUCAUUUCAAAAAACCAUAUUAAAUUAAAAACUUAAAUUAUUAGUUGAUACCUAAAGAAUUAAUGACUUUAUAUUAACUCAUUAAAAAAUAUAUUUAGUUUUGGAUUUAAUUUGAUCCCCUCCAUUUCAUGGUUAACUAAAAGUGGCUUGAGUUUUAUGUCAAUUGAAAAUAAAAUAAAUUAGUAAAGCAUAUAUAUAUAAAUAUAGAAGCAUACGUUAAGGGAUCGAAGGAAUCAACCUACAUUAAAAAAAUCACCCAGAAGAGUCUACUCAGAAUUAAUCACAACAAUUAUUCCAUAUAUAUCUGUAUAAUUAUUUACCAGAGGAAAGAUUAUGAGAAAUUGUUUUGCAGAGAAUUAAUCGCAACAAUUAUUUCAUAUAUAUAUAUAAUGACUAAGGAGAUUAUGUCCACAACAACGUACCUUCUGAAUAUCUUCCCUCAGACUACCUUCUAGACGUUCAAGUGGAGUCUACUCAGAAUUAGAGACAUAGCUAGCUUAAUCAGUAUAUGUUAGAAAUAUUUAUCACAUACAAAUUGUGAUAUUGCAGGUUACGGAAAAUAGUUUUUUAUUCAGAAAAUCUCUCUAUUUAUAAAAAAAUAGACAAAGAAUCAUUAAAUUCAUUCUUUAGUUCCUAAACUAAAAAUUCAUUAAUGGCAGGCACAGCUACUUAAAGCAAUUAGUAGAUUAAUUAUUUAAUGUUUAAUUAAUGCAAAGUUUAGUUAAUUUAUACUUGGCCUCUUUCCCUGGCGCUGUCCGAUCCCUCCACGUCCAUGGCAAUUGUGAAAAGCUCGAUACCAAUACCCUUCCCAAUCCAAAUGCCUCGGGUUGUUUGACUCCUGAGAUUAUAUAUAAGCUAUAUUAUCUUUCAUGGCAGGGUAUAAAACUAGUAAAUCAAUAGACGAAUCCUCCUUUCUAAAACAAAUUAAAGAAUACCAUACCUUCCUUCUUCUGCAUCCAUCAUCCUGAAACUUGUCUGAAAGAGCUUGUUCAAGAGGGUGCUCUUCCCUGUUCACCAAAGAAGGUAAAUUGAACAAUUUAUACUCUUUCUCUGCAUGCUAGUGUGCGAUAAACACACAGAUCACUACAGAGAAACUAUGUAAAAAGAAUACAUACCGCCACUUUGGGGGCCCGUAAUUGCAACAACAGCAUAGGAGAGACCGCGUUGUGAGAGGUUGGUGGUCCUCGUAAGGUUUUCGAGUCCUUGCAUGUUUAAAACACCGUCACCGCUAAUCAGUUGGAAGCGGCAACAAUCUUCCGCCAUUAUUGUUACUCAACUUUGGACGUGUUUUUAGGUUAGUGAAUUAGAUGUAAAGGAUUCUCUGGGAAACUCAAGUUUUGAUUCUUAUUUUCUAGGAUUGUUUACACAGAUGAAGUUUACAGUACUUUGUUUCAAACUACGCGAGGUGUGGUACUCUGUAGAUAGAUAGAUAGAUAGAGCUACUUGAGUUUAUCGAAAGACAAUAGCAUUUUAGGGUUUUGUUAAGAAGAAGAAGAAGAAGAAGAAGAAGGGUUAUAUGUUUCUAGAGUGUCUGGUUUUCUCACAAGUAUUGAUUUAGUGCCAACUGAGGGUGGCGUAGGGCUCUGUUUCUUAAGUGGCACUUGUUCUUCAUUUUUAUCCUUGCCAGAGUUUUAUGUCCACCGACCACAUGCACUUUUUUAAGUGACAACCUGUGUAGGGUUUUUGUUAACCCUUAAUCUAGUGUCAAGUGCCAAAUCAAGUUGGUUGAUAAGUUCAUAAGAAAACAAAAAUUAAGUUGGCCUCUAUAUUCAACUCUUAAUUAUUUGAAUAGUAUCCAAUGGGAUUUUUAUUUUUUUAAUCUCUCUAUCUUGACUUGACUUGAUCGAUGUCACGGGAUUUACACUUCAGCCCUCAAAUAUCUGUACAAUUUGCAAAGAUGGAUCAGGAUCUUUUCUGUUCACAAGAGUUAUGCUUUUAUUACCAAGAUACAAAGAAAGUUGGAGAUUAAUUAUUUACCGAAAAUAUCAUAUUAAAAGUUUCCUCUUUCCGGUCACGGUAGUGACAUCCUCCUUCUACCUCCAUUGAUUAUUACUCUACAGUACCGAAUUCGAUUAAUCUAUGAUGAGGCAUUUGCAAGAAUAUUACCUUUUGUAGAAACUGAAAAUAUUUUUACCAUUUGUAGAAACUGAUGAUAUUUUUACCAGUACCGCUUAUCAAAUUACAAACAAACUUCUUUCAUCAGAUUCACCAUAACAUGUUGCAUGGAUCGUUGGACACACAAUUAAUAUCAACUGUCCAAGUGUGGAUUUGUCAUUAUUAUUGUUGUCACCGCCUCAUCCAUCUCAAGAAGAUCGCAAUCCCUGCAUUUACCACUGCAACAGGCCCCGCCACCGCAGCAGCAGCAGCAGCAGCAACACCAGCACCAGCAGCAGCAUACCUUCGAGUUCUCCUGCGACCAUCCUGAAGGAAACACCAAGUAUUACAUUUCGAGUGAUGCAUAAAUUUCUAGUCAUAAAAACUUUAAUUGGCUUAAAGUAUUUUCUUGGUUUCAGUGCUUAAGUUUAGUAAGUAUAGGAACUUCAAUUGGUAUAUAAAUUGAAGAUGGCAUAUGAUAAACCGAGAAUGUUCUAAUAAAUUGAGUUUAAAGUUUUUGUUUUUAGUAAAAAAUACAUCCAAACAGAUAUAGUGAAUGCAAUCAAAUUACCAAAUGAACAUGUAAUGUGAUACCAGAGUAAAAUAUACCUGGCGGGAUCUAGCUCCGGUCAUCAUAGGCUUUAUCUUUUCUAUGAAAUUCAUCCACAAUGAUUUGCAGUCCUCUGGUUUAAGUAGAGUGGUAGCUUUUGGAGAAACCUGCUCAUAUUUGAUUAUUAUGUGAAACCAGUUUGGCACAGAGACGUGUAAAACUAAAUGCAUUACAUUUGCAUACCAUUAAGCAUGCAUAAAUAUAACUUAAACACACAUUCACCAACUGUUACCUCUUCCCAUGUGUCUGAGGCAAGGGGGUCCAGUGUAGCUCCCAUGAACGUAUUUUGCAAAGAUGGAUCAGGAACAGUUCUAUCCAUAAGAGAGGAAAAGAGUACUUUCUCAAUCUGAUCAGGCAUUCCAUCGAAGCGCAUGGCCGCCAUGAUUGAUAGUAUUCUCAAAGACUAUAACAAAAUAAUUGGGAGACAUUCAGAGGGAACUCAAAGUUUAACCAUUUGAGCAUCCCAGCAGCCAUUAAUUAUACAAAAUCUAGGCAAUAUUACCUCUGAGAGCGCGUUCCUUUCAACUACAUCAAGGUUUAUUUCCUCAGUCCAAUUAUACCAUGACAUUGAGUUUUCAUAAUCACCGAGGACCUGUGAAAACCUAGAAUACGCCCCAAAUCUUUAAUAAAAAACAAAAUUGAAAAAGAAGACAGCAACAAUGAAGUAAUGUACCUAUACUUCAUUCGACUCAGAACUCUCCCUGCAGCUGCUGCUUCUCUUGCCUUCAUCUCCAAUAAAUUUCUGGCAUGCUCCCUCAAAUGUUGCGAUUUAGUGUCGAUUUCCGAACUGUUCAAAUUGAAACUAACAGCAGCAUCUGAAAACUCCGAUACAGCAGCCUCAGUGUUGCACUCAAAAAGAUUUCUUAUUGAUGCCCAUGUAUCUCGUUCACCAGCUUCCAAUAAGGACUUUACUCUUUUGGCAAGCGCACGAGUUAUUCGUUUCUGUGCAGGUGCAACAUAUCAAGAUUUGAUAAUUUGAUUGAGUAGAGUGACAUACAUAGCACCAAGAACGUUAACGGAUUGUGAUAUCAGUGAAGGUAAUACCUUGUACUUUGCCAUCAUUUCUGACAACAUAUCACAAAUAAGUUUUUCGCGGAAUUUCGAAGCAUUCCACUCACUCUGUUGAAUGGCAGCAUCUGAAAGAGCACAAUAUUGAAGGUAACUUGCCAAGUCCAGGAAACUGAAUUAGUAGAUGAAAGAUGCUCACCAAUCAUAUGAACGCAAAUCAUAGAAGGAUGGGCUAUGUUAGCAAUAUCUUAAAAAGUUGUAGUCACUUCUCUGUGAAACCAGCCACCUAAGUCAACAAUGGUGGGAGUCAACAAUGGUGGUGAAGCCAUCCUUCCUUAGUCACAAAUUGUAGGCACCAAACUUGUGCCACUUGCCUUGCCCCUUGUAUUUGCAUGGAUGUUUGCCUAUAAAUAGGCAAUGCAUCCAAGCAUUGAAAACACACCACAAGAGAGAAACAAGAGAGGAAGAGAAGAGUGAGAGAGGGAAAGUAAUCCCAUAAAAUUGUGAGGUAUUUGUGAGAGAGUAAGUGAGGUGUUUUCUCCUAGUAAUAGAGAGAUUCUUAGUUGUUCUUUUAUUACUUGAGAGAGGUUGUAAUUCCCACAUUACUAGUAAAAUCCUUCUAUACUUGCCCGUGGACGUAGCCUAAUUGGGUGAACCACGUAAAUUCUUGUGUGUUUCAUUUCUCAUUUAAGCCUUUUAUCUUGUCGGGUUUGCAUGCCAGUAUCCUAACAGUGGUAUCAGAGCCUUCCUGGUUGGUGUUGUUAACACACAAAAGUUAUUCGUGUAUACGGGUACUAUUCACGUCUACGACACUAUUCACGUCUACGACACUAUUCACAUAUACGGCACUAUUCAUCCAUACGGUAUUGUUCACUUACGUUACUGUUGGCGUAUAUAGAAAGUCAGUGCGGUGAUUAAAUACAGUCUAGGAAGUUCUGUCUAAGGAGAUUGAGUUUUAAGCGGGACCGUUUGUGACCCCUCCAAUCUUUCCUAGGAACUUACUUAGUGAAGUAUUAUUCACAUGAUACUAUUUCUAUAUACGUUACAGAUCUGUGAAACGGUGAUAGCUGAAUAGAUCUCGGUGAAUACAAUGACAACAAAGUACGAGAUUGAGAGGUUCAAAGGGAGCAAUUUCUCACUGUGGAAAAUGAGAAUCAAGGCAAUCUUGAGGAAAGACAAUUGCUUGGCAGCAAUUGGGGAUCGGCCCACGAAGAUCACUGAUAAUGCAAAAUAGAAUGAGAUGGAUGACAAUGCUAUUGCUAACAUACAUUUAACAUUAGCUGAUGAAGUAUUAUCAAGUGUGGCGGAGAAGAAAACAGCUAAGGAGAUAUGGGAGACUCUAACAAAGCUAUACGAGUCCAAGUCUUUGCACAAUAAGAUUUUCUUAAAGCGGAGACUUUAUACCCUUCGAAUGGCAGAAACCACGUCGGUGACUGACCACAUCAACACAAUAAGAACUCUAUUUUCACAACUCACUACGUUGGGUCAACAAAUAGAGGAAAAUGAACGUGCAGAGCUUCUACUUCAAAGUCUUCCUGAUUCGUAUGAUCAGCUCAUUAUCAACUUGACCAAUAAUAUCCUCUCAGACUAUUUAGUCUUCGAUGAUGUUGCAGCUGCUAUCUUGGAAGAAGAAAAUAGGCGCAAAAACAAAGGAGACAGAAACAGUUCAAACCAAGCUGAGGCAUUGUUGGUAUCAAGAGGAAGAUCAACGGAACGUGGCUCAGUGGGAGUCAAAGGCAGGGGAGGUCCAAAUCAAGAAGUAAGAAGAUGGUGAAAUGCUACAACUAUGGCAGAAAAGGGCACUUCAAAAAGGACAGUUGGUUUAAAAAAGGUAUAGAGAAUACUGCAGAGUCAUCAAAACCUCAAGGAUGUGUUGCAAGCACCUCAGAAGAUGGAGAGGUUCUAUAUAGUGAAGCAGCAACAAUCUCUACAGAUAGAGAAGAGCUCACUGAGGUCUGGCUAAUGGAUUCAGGAGCAACAUGGCAUAUGACCCCUAGACGAGAUUGGUUCCAUACAUAUGAACCUAUCUCUGGAGGCACAGUGUUCAUGGGUGAUAAUCAUGCUUUAGAGAUUUCUGGCAUUGGCACCAUCAAAUUGAAGAUGUAUGAUGGCUUAAUUCGUACUAUUUCAGGAGUGCGACAUGUGAAAGACUUAAAGAAGAAUCUUUUGUCCGUAGGACAAUUUGAUAGUCUUGGCUGUAAGAUCCGAACAGACAAUGGAAUCAUGAAAAUUGUCAAAGGCGCGCUGGUGGUUUUAAAGGCAAGAAAGACAGUUGCAAACAUGUUUGUAUUAAUGGGAGAAACACAUCAGGGGCAGAAGCAUCAAUCGCAUCAGCCAGUCCUGCAGAAGAGAAGACGAUGAUGUGGCAUCAAAAACUAGGCCACAUGUCAGAGAAAGGUUUAAAGGUUCUCUCUGAUCAGAAGUUACUCCCUGGGCUUACAAAGGUUACUUUACCUUUUUGUGAGCACUGUGUUACAAGUAAACAACACAGGUUGAAGUUUGGCACGUCAACAACUAAGAGCAAAUGCAUCUUAGACCUGAUUCACUCUGAUGUUUGGCAAGCACCGGUUGUAUCCUUGGGAGGAGCAAGAUACUUUGUAUCAUUCAUAGAUGACUUCUCCAGGAGAUGUUGGGUGUAUCCGAUUAGAAGGAAGGCAGAUGUGUUCGCAGUUUUUAAAACCUUCAAAGCGCGGGUAGAACUUGAAUCUGAAAAGAAGAUCAAGUGUUUGAGGACUGACAAUGGAGGAGAAUAUACCAGUGAUGAAUUUGAUAACUUCUGUCAACAUGAAGGUAUCAAAAGGCAGUUCACAACGGCAUACACUCCACAACAAAAUGGAGUGGCAGAGCGGAUGAACAGAACUCUAUUGGAAAGAACAAGAGCAAUGUUGAAGGCUGCAGGUCUAGAAAAGUCAUUCUGGGCAGAAGCAGUCAAUACCGCCUGUUAUGUAAUAAAUCGAUCUCCGUCUACUGCAAUUGAGUUGAAGACACCGAUGGAGAUGUGGACUGGAAAGCCAGCUGAUUAUUCUCGAUUGCAUAUAUUUGGAAGUCCUGUGUACGUGAUGUACAAUACACAAGAAGUUAGCAAACUAGAUUCAAAAUCCAGAAAAUGUGUAUUCUUGGGAUAUGCUGAUGGAGUGAAGGGGUAUCGCUUGUGGGAUCCCACUGCCCACAAGGUAGUCAUCAGCAGAGAUGUCAUAUUUGCAGAAGAUAAAAUGCACAAGAAUAACACUUGGGAUCUUGUUCCGCUACCACAAGGAAAAAAGGUCAUUGGCAACAAAUGGGUUUACAAGAUAAAGCGUGACGACAAUGAUCAAGUGGAGCGGUAUUGUGCAAGAUUGGUGGUGAAAGGAUAUGCUCAGAAAGAAGGAAUAGACUUUAAUGAGAUAUUUUCUCCGGUGGUACAACUUACUACAAUUAGAGUAGUCUUGGCAAUGUGUGCUAUAUUUGAUCUUCACUUAGAGCAGUUAGAUGUGAAAACUGCAUUUCUUCAUGGAGAACUAGAAGAAGAAAUUUAUAUGCUCCAACCAGAGGGUUUGGCUGAAACAGGCAAAAAGAACUUGGUUUGUAGGUUGAACAAAUCUCUAUACGGUCUCAAACAGGCGCCGAAGUGUUGGUACAAGAGAUUUGAUUCCUUCAUAAUUAGCCUUGGGUACAACAGACUCAGUUCAGACCAUUGCACGUAUUACAAGAGGUUUGAAGAAAAUGAUGUUUUCAUCAUUCUGUUGUUGUACGUGGAUGACAUGUUGGUAAUAGGCCCCAACAAAGAUCGAGUCCAAGAAUUGAAGGCACAGUUGGCUAGGGAGUUUGAUAUGAAGGACCUGGGACCAACAAACAAGAUUCUAGGGAUGCAAAUUCACCGAGACAGAAGUAAGAGGAAGAUUUGGCUUUCUCAGAAGAAUUAUUUAAAGAAGAUCUUGCGACGCUUCAACAUGCAAGAUUGUAAGCCAAUUUCCACCCCACUUCCUGUUAACUUCAAAUUAUCCUCAAGUAUGUCUCCUAGCAAUGAAGCAGAGAGGAUGGAGAUGUCUCGAGUACAGUAUGCAUCAGCAGUGGGAAGUUUAAUGUUUGUCAUGAUAUGUACAAGACCAGACAUUGCACAAGCAGUGGGAGCAGCUAGUCGAUACAUGGCAAAUCCUAGUAGAGAGCAUUGGAAUACUAUUAAGAGGAUCUUGAGAUACAUCAAGGGUACCUCAGAUGCCGCAUUAUGUUAUGGAGGAUCAGAAUUUACUAUCAGAGAUUAUGUUGACUCAAAUUUUGCUGGUGACCUUGAGAAAAGAAAAUCCACUACAGGCUAUGUGUUCAUAAUUGCAGGAGGAGCUGUGAGCUGGGUCUCUAAACUUCAGACUGUUGUAGUGUUAUCCACAACAGAAGCUGAGUAUAUGGCAGCUACACAGGCUUGUAAAGAAGCAAUAUGGCUGAAGAAACUUAUGGAGGAGCUCGGGCACAAACAAGAGAAGAUUCUUUUGUAUUGUGAUAGUCAGAGUACCUUGCAUAUUGCAAGGAAUCCAGCGUUUCAUUCAAGAACAAAACAUAUAGAUGUUCAGUAUCACUUUGUUCGCGAAGUGGUGGAAGAUGGAAGUGUGGAUUUUCAGAAGGUUCACACAAAGGAAAACCCAGCAGAUGCUUUAACCAAACCAGUCAACACUAAUAAGUACAUAUGGUGCAGAUCCUCUUGUGGCCUAGCAGAAACAUAAGCAGCAUGAAGAUGGCAAGUAUUGAAAGGAUAGAAGAAUCACAAAUGAUGAAGUGUGAAGACUUGAUUCAAUCAUCAAAGUCUUCAAGUGGGAGAAUGUGAAACCAGCCACCUAAGUCAACAAUGGUGGGAGUCAACAAUGGUGGUGAAGCCAUCCUUCCUUAGUCACAAAUUGUAGGCACCAAACUUGUGCCAAACUUGUGCCACUUGCCUUGCCCCUUGUAUUUGCAUGGAUGUUUGCCUAUAAAUAGGCAAUGCAUCCAAGAAAACACACCACAAGAGAGAAACAAGAGAGGAAGAGAAGAGUGAGAGAGGGAAAGUAAUCCCAUAAAAUUGUGAGGUAUUUGUGAGAGAGUAAGUGAGGUGUUUUCUCCUAGUAAUAGAGAGAUUCUUAGUUGUUCUCUUAUUACUUGAGAGAGGUUGUAAUUCCCACAUUACUAGUAAAAUCCUUCUAUACUUGCCCGUGGACGUAGUCUAAUUGGGUGAACCACGUAAAUUCUUGUGUGUUUCAUUUCUCAUUUAAGCCUUUUAUCUUGUCGGGUUUGCAUGCCAGUAUCCUAACAUUCUCGUCAUUUAAUCCUUUAAGUUACUUUUUUCCUAUAUCCCAGGCAAUCGCUUUGUUCAAUGAAGUAGUCAUUUAACUAGCAUUAAUCUUCUGGAGCAAAACUGUAACAACUUGAGAUUUGCACGAGUACAGAAUGCAAGUGGUCACCUAAGAAGACGAGGUGAAGGAACGCAUCCUGAGAAUGUAUACCAUAAUUGAUUCUAGUGAUAGAGAAAAAAACUAAUUCUCAUACGGAAUCAAACCAAUUCAGGGCAGUUUUGGGAGUUUUAUAACUCAUGCAUAUAUCAUAUCAGUUAGAUGAAGUUUUUCCUUCAGGUUUAAACUAUUUCUGCAGUCAUAUUACUUGCCCAUCGAGUGCCGCUAGUCUCCAUUACCGGAGCAUGCCAAUGAGAAUUAUAAAAUUUCACAAUUCAUCAAACAGAAGGCUAAAUAGCAGUACCUAAGCAAUUGAAUCAGACCCUUGAGACAAAUUAAUUAUCUUAACUGUCAAGCUAGACAACUUAGCCUAUCCAGGAUAGAUAUAUGCAGCCUACUCAAGAUGGAUAUAAAUCCAGCAGUUAAGUUGUUUAGCUAAUUCGAAUAGAGGACUAGCUGGAAAGUAUCUAAACUCAUAUAAACAGCAACGACAGACAAAUCAGAUUAGUUCCACACAAAAUUUCAAGGUUCAAAUCUAAACUGAUGUGCAUAUUUGCUUUAGCCAAAACCUGCAAUUAUGCAAAUAGUUCCUGUCAUAUUUGCACUAGUCAAUCAUUAAAUGAUUAUGGUCCUUUCGUAACCAAUCCAAUGCAUGUAGUUUUAAGUAUCAGAAAACGAUUGACCAUGAAAACCAUGAGGAUAAAUUCCAUUUCACAGCAGAGCAAGUUUGAAUUCCAGCCAACGCUAUACAGAAUUUGUAAAAAGAAGAGUUGCUUUAGAAGAUUAUGAAGUCCAAAAAAUACCCUUCAGUUUUGUGCAUAUAAGAUGCAACAACAAAAGCAAAGAAAAACUAAAUUAAUAUUGGAUUUUUAGAAAAGAAAAAACUGAAAUAAAAAAAUAAAAAUCUUCAGUGUUUGGAGUCUAAAUACCUUCACAUCCUUGAUCAAACUCGCGCAUGCACGAUUGGGAACAGAGAUGAAUAGCAGCAACAUAUUCUUUUCCUUCAUUCAGUGACUGUUUCAGGCUAGUUUUAAACCUAUUGACUGUGCUGGAAUGCAAAUGCAUCAGCAUGGUAUCAUAGGCAUCGCGUACCACCUACAUAACAUAUUGGCACAUUUGAGUUGAUCAGUAUAAGAAACAUAUAAAUACAAAAACACCUGCGAAAAAAAAAAAGCCCAAGAAAAGAUCAAAUAUCAACAAAUUUGACAACUAGGGAGGUUAAGAACAUAGAAAGAGGAAAUAUACACGCUAAGGCCUUACCAUCAAUGCAUUUGACAGCAACAGUUGCCGUUUUGCAUUUCGUACUUGAUCAAAAUAGACCACCUCCCUCUCAUAUCUAAUGGGGGAAAAAAACGCAAAAUAAGAGAUUCCGGAUCAAGUUGAACAAGAAGUAUAUGGAUAAUUUAAGUAGGAAUCAAUUACUUCGCGAACGGAAGUAUAACUAUCAAAUUGAUCAUAAUUCAAAGUUUCCACUUCGUUUUGAGACAGACAAGCGUAUACUCAACUGAUCAACUGACGGAAGAAGUAUUAAAAUUGAAGAAUCUUGGAAUAAAACACAAUGUAAGUUAACAUUAAAUAUCACACAGAUCUUACAAUGUGAACACAUCAUCUUAUAGAAUUGACCCCAUGAUGUAUACUUACUCUGAAAGAUAGGUUUCCAAAAUAGAACUGACAGCUCCUCCAAACCCUGAUACUGGACAAUCUUGAACAACUUCCUUCAUUUUCAACCAAUCCUGUAAGAAAUAAAUUUAGCACUAACUGAUAUUAAAUGAGGUCGGUGAACUUUAAAAGAAAGAAAUUAGAAAAUAGAUUCAAUAAAGUACCUCGUCGGUUGUAAAGCAUUUGAGCUUCUCACCAGCAAUCUCUUCACAUCGAACUGUGGCAACCAUGACCUGAUAAACAAGAUGAGAAGUAUAUUUACAUAUGAAACCUGAUGGUUUAUAUUUACAGAGGAAAAUGGCGUUUAAUAAACCUUGACAGCAGGAAGAUCUAAAUCCCUGUUGUCUUUUAUUAUUUUCCAAAUCUCUUCUGCACGAAGAGUAAAUCCUGAAGCAGGCUCAACUUCCUCCCUGUCACCAACAAGACCUCCUGGAUAAAUGGAAUGGACAAACCGCUGCCUCAGUUGAGCAACCUGUAAAUGUCAAUGCUAUCAGAAAAAUGUAGUUACGAAUUACAGAUACUGGAUUUUUCACUUGAUGAUUGCUGUCCUAAUUGCUCCCACAUACACAGAUCCAUAAAAUUAUCUGAUCACAGGACUUAAUGCUCAUUUUGUCAUUCUUACAUGACACACUCCUAAUGACUAUUAAACACUCUCCAGUCAAAGCUAAGCUGUUCUGUCCCUUCAUACAAAUGCCAAUGAUUGUGAAUUCCAAUUAUUUGGUAAGCAUGUUCAAAGCUACAAAUCAUUCCAGAUAUCAAUUCUAGAAAACACGCAGCAGCACAAUCUAGAAGAACUCAGGACAAAAGUUUUGAGGAUUGACAAACUGCUUUCUUAGUGGAAAAGCUACCUGCUCUUUAAAUUUCUCCUCCUGGAAUUCAUAGUGAGGCAAAGCAGUGAUCUCCACCUUUAUAUCAAUAAUUAGAAGCAUAUUAAGUUCAUGGAACUUAAACAAAAAGGCAACAUAUGAUAAAUAUAUGCCAAUGGCAUCAGUAUGGAGAUGGAGGUGAUUUUUCAUACAUUAAAAAACUCUCUGAGAGGAGCGCUGCAGAGAGUCUCAGGCUCAGCAACUGCAGCCCAAAUCUGCAGAAAGUAUGACCUCAGAAAAUGCUGGAGAAUAAGAAGAGAAAUAAUUGAUCCAGAAAGAGAAAUGCAUAAACAGAGAAUAAGAAGUAUGAACAGAAGUACCUUCUCAAUAUCUUCUAAGAGAGCAGUCUUUAAAUAUUCAAGUGGAGUCUACACAGACAAUUAGAAAAGGGACAGAGAUUCAGCGUUGAGGAUGCAUUCAAAGAAUGGAGCAUUCAAGUGGAAUCUUCUCUCAAGAAACUUACGGGCACAACAAGUCCAUACCUUUGAGUGAUCACGUAGAACAAACAGUAGUGUUUUUUUGCGGGGCUUGAAUAAACGCUUCAUGACCUGAAUACAAGAAAUAAUAGAUUAUCACAUAUCAGCAUCAAAUUAUGUUGGGUGAAAUACUCAAUAUUACACACUGGGCUAAAUGAAUGCAGCUAAACAGUUUUGAUAAAAUGGGGUAAGUUUGCUGUGAAUAUGGAAUCAGAGGCUCAGGCUUACCUAAGGUUAAGAAAAACACAGGUAUCCAAUCAAAUGCAAUUAAAUGUGAGACAAUCCAAACUUGACUUUCUAAAGAAGUUUGGAUAUUGGUCACUUAAGUUAAUGCAAAUUGCUUUCAAGUACCUGGAAAACUAUUUUUAAAAGGGGUCUGCUGGCUGCAUUUUCCAGACCAAUGUCUUUGUACCACCUGCAUAUGAUACUCAACACAAAAUCAUUUGACAGAAAAAAGUACUGGGCUGCCUUACCGACUAUGGAAGACUACAUCAUGAGUUUUUUUUUUUUUUUUAAAAAAAAAAUUUUCUAGACAGAGUCAUACGCAGUUGUGGACAUUUAUCAAACUUCACAGGCAGAAAAGGCAUUCAAAUAUUAUAAUGAUGAACAUAAAAAACUCACAUGUUUAUCAAAACAACGUCAGCGAUAUUAACAGCAACCAAACAACUCUGCAGCAGCAGCAGGAGGCAGCAGCAGCAGCAGCACAGGAUCCUCACCUUUGCCAGCAACUGCAGCAGCAGCAGGAGACAACAGCAGCAGCACCACAGGAUCCUCACUCUCGUCACCAACCAUUCUGAAAUAACAUCUCCAACGGCUACUAUUCAGAAUGGUAAUUAACCAUACAUGGAAAUCAUAGCUGUGGCUACCUCAACCAACGGCUACUUCUCAAAGAAGGAAAUUACAACUAUGGCACACCUCUCAUAGAAGGAAACUACAACUACCUUAUAUCAGAAACAAAUCAAUAUAUAUAAAUAAGGAAUAUUGUAUUCAUAGAAAGAAAUAAGUAAUGAAAAGGCAAUAGCUAAUUACUACUCUAUAUAUAAAGAGUAUCCUGUACAAAGUUCAAGUAAUAGUGCUCACGUUUGUAUGCUCAAUAGUAUUGCAGUAAACACAUAUUCUUCAUCUACUAUGUCCCCUGUUCAGCUUUUUCUCUUGGUAUCAGAGCUUGAGUGAGCACACACAUAUCAAACACAAUCACAUCCUUCACAAUGACUUCGUUGUCUCUCAAUGUUGGUAACUUUAUUACCCUCAAACUUAACCAAACAAACUACCCAUUAUGGAGAGAACAUGUUGAAAUUUAUUGCCUUAAGUUGCUGACGUGUUGCUUGAAGACCAGUUCAGCUCACGUAUUGUUUUUAUCUCUGCUAGAAUAAAGGAUUGAACAAGUCCUUAGGUGAAUUGUUAGUAAUGGCGAAAUGUAAGCCAAACGUGGCAGUAGUGUUGCGUAUUUUUAGUUUUUCUGUUUAUUUUCUUUCUAUAAAUCAGUGUAAUUGAUUGCUGUAAAAAUAAGCAAUCAUCCUUAUCAUUAUCUAGUUUUUCAUGCAAUAAACAUCCACUGUUCAAAUACAGAUUUCUGGUGUUGAUCUACAGUAACAAACAGUCACUGUAGGAUCAAAGUCUUUUAUUUUUCUGCUUCUCUGUUCUUCACUUAUUCUGCAAAAGUAUUUUCAAUUGGUAUCAGAGCUUAUUUCUUGAAGGGUCUGUAAUGGAUUCCAAAACUAACUUCUCUCAUAUCUCAACUCCAAUCUUCAAUGGAGAAAAUUACCAACUUUGGGCAGUACGAAUGGAAACAUAUUUAGAAGCUAUGGAUUUAUGGGAAGCUGUUGAAGAGGAUUACGAGAUCCUACCACUGCCAAUUAAUCCAACCAUGACUCAAAUCAAGAGUCAUAAGGAGAGAAAGACCAAGAAAUCAAAAGCAAAAGCCACUCUUUUUGCUGCUGUUUCAACAACGAUCUUCACCAGGAUCAUGUCCCUGAAGUCAGCUAAGGAUGUCUGGGAAUAUUUGAAGGAAGAGUAUGCAGGAGAUGAGAAAAUUCGUGGGAUGCAAAGUCUCAAUUUAAUACGUGAAUUUGAGCUGCAGAGGAUGAAGGAUUCUGAGACUAUCAAGGAGUACUCAGACAGAUUGCUGGGAAUUGCAAACAGGGUGAAAUUGCUGGGAACUUCAUUCUUAGACUCAAGAAUUGUUGAGAAAAUUCUGGUCACAGUACCAGAAAAAUAUGAAGCUUCAAUCACCACUCUGGAGAACACAAAAGAUCUGUCAAGUAUUACCUUGACAGAACUUUUGAAUGCCUUACAAGCCCAAGAACAAAGAAGGCUUAUGAGGCAAGAUCAUGUCAUUGAAGGUGCCUUGCAAGCCAAAUUUCCAGAUUCUGAAAGAAGGAAAUUUGGCAGAAAACACCAAGUUGCAGCCAAACCCACCAGUCAAGGUCAUAGUAAAGGAAAAUUCAUUAAAAGAAAUUUUCCACCAUGUCAACAUUGCAACAAGAUGGGUCAUCCACCAUUCAAGUGCUGGAAGAGGCCUGAUGCAAGGUGCAACAAAUGCAACCAGCUUGGGCACGAGGCAAUCAUCUGCAGAGUAAAAAAUCAGAAACAAGAAGAGGAUGCUCAAGUUGCAAAUCAGGAUGAUGAAGACCAGAUGUUUGUGGCAACAUGCUUCUCAGUACAAACUACCUCUGAUCAUUGGCUAAUCGACAGUGGUUGUACAAACCACAUGACUUUUGAUAAAAGUCUCUUCAAAAAUUUGCAGCCAACAGAUGUUGCAAAAGUCAGAAUUGGAAAUGGUGAAUGCAUUGAAGCUAAGGGAAAGGGAACAAUUGCCAUUACAACAAACUCAGGUACAAAAACAAUAGCAGAUGUUCUUUAUGUACCUGAUAUUGAUCAAAAUUUGCUGAGUGUGGGGCAAUUGAUUGAGAAAGGAAUGAAGGUGAUUUUUGAGAAUCACACUUGCUGUAUUUUUGAUGCUGCUGGGCACAAAAUACUUCAAGCUAAAAUGAGAGGCAAAAGCUUCUCAUUUGUUCCAUUUGAAGGAGAGCAUACUGCAUUUCCAGUCACUCUUAGUGACACUGAACUAUGGCACAAACGGCUGGCACACUGUCAUCAAAAGAGGAUGCUCACCAUGAAGGUUCAUGAAGUUGUCAGAGGUAUGCCAUCAUUCACUGAUCUCCAAUUAAACUGUAAUGCUUGUCAAUUUGGGAAGCAAAAUAGAAUGCCAUUUCCACGAUCAAUUUGGCGAGCAACACACAAGCUCCAGUUAAUUCAUACGGAUGUAGCUGGUCCCUUAAGCACACCAUCACUAAAUGGCAGCAGAUACUAUCUGUUAUUUAUUGAUGAUUACUCCCGUAUGUGCUGGAUAUAUUUCAUGAAGUUCAAGUCAGAGGUGGCUGGCAUCUUCUGGAAAUUCAAGAAAAACGUGGAGAACCAAAGUGGCAGCAGCAUUCAAGCCAUACGGUCUGACAAUGGCAAAGAGUAUACCUCAGCCGAAUUCAACCAUUACUGUGAAGAUGCUGGUAUUGAACACCAGCUAACAACCCCCUAUACUCCAGAACAGAAUGGGGUAAGUGAAAGGCGUAAUCGAUAUGUCAUGGAGAUGGUGAGAAGCAUGAUGCAUGAGAAGAAUCUACCCAAAAUGCUGUGGGCAGAAGCUGCUAACACAGCAGUGUUCAUCCAGAAUCGACUUCCAACAUCAGUGUUGGCAGAAAUGACACCCUUUGAGAUGUGGUAUAAUUAUAAGCCUUCCUUGCGUUUCCUCAAAAUUUUUGGUUGUGUAUGUUUUGUACAUGUUCCACAGAUUAAGAGGAACAAGCUUGACAAGAAAGCCAUCAAAGGAAUUUUUGUUGGCUAUAGCACAAUUUCUAAAGCCUACAAGGUUUAUCAUCCUCAAAGUCAGAAAAUUGCUAUUACAAGGGAUGUCACAUUUCAUGAAGAUGCACAGUGGGAGUGGGUUGAUUCACAGGAGAGCAUGCUGAUUAAUAAUCAAAUUCAGCCCUUGCAAGAUAAAUUGAUUGACUCCGAAUCAAUUGAUGAUGAACCAGUCAGGGGUACUCGAUCAAUUGAAGAAAUUUAUCAAAGGAGCAAUGUUGCUGUGUGCGAACCUGACAACUAUGAAGAAGCUCAACAAAAUCCAUCAUGGCAGAAGGCAAUGGAAGAAGAAAUCUUCAUGAUCGAGAAGAACAAGACGUGGGAACUUGUUGACAGACCUGGAGACAAAAACAUCAUUGGCGUAAAAUGGAUUUUCAGAACCAAAUUGAACGCUGAUAGUUCAAUCAACAAAUUCAAAGCCAGGCUCGUUGUCAAGGGAUAUGCUCAAGUGUAUGGGGUUGAUUAUUCAGACACAUUUGCCCCAGUAGCAAGGAUGGACACUAUCCGAUUGCUACUUGCUGUUGCAGCACACAGAAACUGGAAGGUGUUCCAGUUGGACGUCAAAUCUGCCUUCUUGAAUGGUGUUCUUCAAGAAGAAAUUUACGUUGAACAACCUGCUGGAUUUGUUGUUCAAGGCAAAGCUGACAAGGUGUAUUUGUUGAAGAAGGCACUCUAUGGAUUAAAACAGGCACCAAGGGCCUGGUAUGGAAGAAUUGAUGAGUACUUGACAGGUUUUGGUUUCCAGAGAAGCCCCUCUGAAUCAACUCUCUAUGUGAACAAAAUUGAAGGUGAUGUUCUAAUUGUGUCACUGUAUGUUGAUGACCUUCUUGUGACUGGGAGUAAUUUGCAGCAAAUCGAAAGGUUCAAGCAGGAUAUGAUGCAAGCUUUCGAGAUGAGUGAUCUUGGGCUCAUGAGUUUCUUUCUCGGCAUGGAGAUCAAGCAAGACAGAGGAGAAAUUUUUAUUGGACAAGAAAAAUAUGCAAAGGAAAUUUUGAAGAAAUUUCAAAUGGAAAAUUGCAAGCCAACUGCAACUCCAAUGAAUCAGAAGGACUUGCGUAAAAUGGAUUUUCAGAACCAAAUUGAACGCUGAUAGUUCAAUCAACAAAUUCAAAGCCAGGCUCGUUGUCAAGGGAUAUGCUCAAGUGUAUGGGGUUGAUUAUUCAGACUUGUUUACCAAAGCACUCCCUGCAAAUCGGUUUGAAUUUCUAACCAGGAUGAUUGGGGUUUGCAGCCCUUAAUGCAAGGAGGAGUGUUGAAAUUUAUUGCCUUAAGUUGCUGACGUGUUGCUUGAAGACCAGUUCAGCUCACGUAUUGUUUUUAUCUCUGCUAGAAUAAAGGAUUGAACAAGUCCUUAGGUGAAUUGUUAGUAAUGGCGAAAUGUAAGCCAAACGUGGCAGUAGUGUUGCGUAUUUUUAGUUUUUCUGUUUAUUUUCUUUCUAUAAAUCAGUGUAAUUGAUUGCUGUAAAAAUAAGCAAUCAUCCUUAUCAUUAUCUAGUUUUUCAUGCAAUAAACAUCCACUGUUCAAAUACAGAUUUCUGGUGUUGAUCUACAGUAACAAACAGUCACUGUAGGAUCAAAGUCUUUUAUUUUUCUGCUUCUCUGUUCUUCACUUAUUCUGCAAAAGUAUUUUCAGAACAAGCCCUGGCUCUUGCAGAAAGUCAGGAGCUUGUUGAGCAUCUCACCAAUAAAGUUCUUGCACCAGCAAAAUACAACACACAAGAUUCAAUCAACAACCUGCACACAGAAAAUACAGCACCAGUCUUAACACAAGUCUUCAUCACUUGGAGAAAAUCUGACCGACUCAUUCGAGGUUGGAUUAUUGGAACUUUAUCUGAAGAAGCACUUAGCCUUGUUGUUGGACUAGAAACAACAUCUGCUGUUUGGGAAGAAUUGAAGAAUGCAUAUGCUAAAGAUUCACAAGAACGUGAAUUCACACUUCGGCAGCAGGUUACCUACUUCCGUAAACAUGAAAAUCAGUCCAUGGAAGAGCAUAUCCGCACCUUCAAAAGAUUGUGUGACAGCCUUGCAGCAAUUGAAAAACCAGUUUCAGACAAUGAAAAGGUUUUUUGUCUUCUCACCAGCCUUGGUCCACAAUAUGAAAACUUCACAACAACUAUGUUGAAGCCUCCAAGACCAUCCUAUUCAGAGCUGGUUUCACAGCAAAAUUUUGAUCAACGUCGAAAUUGGUUCUCCUCUCAUAUAGAUAUAACAAACACACAGGUUCCACAACAACUUGCAUUUUAUGGACAACAACAGCAACGCCAUCAGCAGAGAACACAGCAGCCUUCCUCAGCACGCAACACAUAUCAGUUCACCUCUAAUGGAAGAGGAUUUCAAGCCCAGCAAUCUAGAGAUCAAAAUAUAAGGUAUUUUAAUCCCACUCAACAACGUCGUCCUCCACCACCAGGAGAACGCCGCAUGACUCAAACAGAACGAGAUUUGUAUCGUGAAGACAAAUGCCAAUAUUGUGGCACAACGGGUCACAUUGCUAAAAUAUGCUGGUGGAUACCUAAACAAAAUACUACUCAGGACACUGAAAUCCCACAAGCACUAGCAGCCCUUACGCUAGACAACACCGUAGUUGACACAGAAUGGACAUCAGACACUGGUGCAUCAAAUCACAUGACAAGUAAGCCAGGUAUGUUAACUGAUGUUCGUAAGUAUUUUGGAACUGACUCUGUUGUUAUUGGAAAUGGAUCGUCUCUACCGAUUGUUGGUAUUGGAGAUUCAUUUAUUAAACAAAACAAUACUAAAUUAACUAUUAAUGAUGUUCUCCUUGUUCUUGAAUUAACUAAAAAUUUACUUUCAAUAAGUCAGCUUACCAAACAAUUUCCUAUGAACUGUGAGUUUUCUGACGUCGAUUUUUGUGUUAAGGAACGGAAAACAGGACAACCUCUGAUCACAGGUAGACGUAAAGGUGAUCUUUAUGUCUUGCACAACUCGCCAAAAUUACAUUUUUCUUAUCGUUUUAAAACUGGAUCAGCAGAAGUUUGGCAUCAAUGCCUAGGACAUCCUCAAGCUUCUACAAUGUAGCUAUUAAAAAAUAAAGGAUUGAUUGACGUCACAGGAGCUAUGAAGACUGAGCACCUUUGUGAUAGUUGUCAAUUAGGAAAACUUAGCAAAUUACCUUUUUCGCAUUCUGAACAUUCAAGUACUGAUGUUUUUGAAAAAAUACAUUGUGAUUUAUGGGGACUUGCCCCUGUUUUAUCAAUUGGAAAAUUUGAAUAUUAUGCUUGCCUAGUAGAUGAUUUCUCUAAAUAUACAUGGAUAAUUGCUCUUCAUAACAAAUCUGAUUUUCUAACAGUGUUUAUAUCAUUCGAAAAGUAUGUUAGUAGGCAAUUCAAUAAACAAAUCAAAGUCUUUCACUCAGAUGGAGGAGGAGAAUUUAUUAACUCAAAAUUAUCAAGUCAUUUUCGCUCCACAGGAAUUGUUCACCAGGUAUCUUGUCCUUACACUCCUAAACAAACAUGUAUGGUUGAAAGGCGACACAAAAUUAUAAGAGAACUAGGUAUGGCAAUGUUAUUUCAUAGUGGUACUCCUUUAUUUUUAUGGGUUGAAGCUUUUUCAACUGCUGUUUAUCUCAUUAAUAGACUACCAUUUUCUGCUCUUAACUCUGACACUCCGUACUUCCGAUUACAUGGUAAACAUCCUAUUUAUUCAUCUCUUCGUAUUUUUGGCUCCCGAUAUUUCCCUUACACUUGGGACAUAAGACAGAAUAAAUUUGAUCCAAAAAGUGUUCCAUGUAUUUUUGUAGGAUAUAGUGAUCAACAUAAGGGAUAUAAAUGCUUUCAUCCAACAAGCAAAUAUUUUUUUGUCUCACGACAUGUGGUUUUUAGUGAAUCUAUCCUUCCAUAUAAACAAACUAAUACCACCACAAAUAUUGAUCACUCUAAUCAUGUCAUUAGCAUAUUUGACUCUUGGCUAACUAUUCCUGCUUCAUGUUCUCCUGCAUAUAUCUCUGAAACACCAGCAGCGCCACCAUACCUCAGCUCAUUGCCCAUACCCUUGCUUCCUACCAUGAUCUCAGAUACACCAGUGUGUUUUACAAAUAUUUCUCCAACUUCUGUUGAUCUGCAACUCCAUGGUGACAGUACUCUAGCCCGCCAGCAGCUUCACCAGCAGUAUGACACUUCAAUUACUCAGCCGGAGACAUUACAGCAGGUGCACACUUCUUGCACUGAUAUCUCUAACUCUGCGGCUGAACAAUACCAUAGUCUGGAGAAUGAUAUUCAGCAGAUGGCAGCUUCCACACAGCAGGAGAUUGCCCACAAUCUCUACCCUGAUAUUUCCAAUCCUACAUCACAACAUUCUAUUCCUCCUCACUCCGAUCACCAGCAACCACUCCAUGAGAACUUAACUACUCAGCAGUAGCAAGACCACCCAAAUAUAGCUUCUCACUCUAUGGUUACUCGUUCACAACAUGCUCUACACAAAGCUGCACAACCUUCCUGUAGUGAUGCCUCCGCAGAUGAGCUUGUUCCCAAUUCCUCUACUUCAGCUCUUCGCACCAUGACCACUCGGUCCCAACAUGGCAUCAUAAAGCCAAAUCCCAAGUAUGCAUUAACCUCUGUCAUCUCUGUUGGAUACCACGUGAACCACGAUCUGUGCGAGCUGCACUUGCUCAUCCAGGAUGGAAAGCAACAAUGGAGGAUGAACUUACAUCCUUACACCAGAAUCAGACAUGGAAGUUGGUACCUCGUACCACCGAUAUGCAUAUCAUAGGUUCCAAAUGGGUGUUUAAAACCAAACUCAAAUCUGAUGGCAGCUUGGAGCGUCUCAAAGCUCGUGUUGUUGCCAAAGGAUACCAUCAAAUUGAUGGCCUCGACUACACUGAAACAUUCUCUCCAGUUGUAAAGCCCGGCACCAUUUGGCUAAUUAUCACUAUAGCUCUUAUUCAUAAUUGGUCUCUAUGGCAGCUUGAUGUCAAAAAUGCAUUUUUGCAUGGUUUGAUUUAUGAAAAUCUCUACAUGGAUCAGCCAUCAGGAAUGUCAGAUCCUCAUCAUCCACAGCAUGUCUGCAAGCUCCAACGUGCCCUCUAUGGCCUUAAACAAGCACCUCGUGCUUGGUUUGAUCGUUGUAGUUCCUUUCUUCUCAAAUACGGUUUUCUUUGCAGCUUAGCAGACCCUUCUCUAUUUAUUUUUCAUUCUGAUCAUGGUUCUCUUAUUCUCCUACUUUAUGUUGAUGAUAUACUUCUUACAAGAACUAUAGAUACACUUGUUGCAAACUUCAUUACUCUACUCAGUCAAGAAUUUGCCAUGAAGGACUUAGACCCUGCUCAUCAUUUUCUUGGCAUAGAAAUUUUGCCUACGCCAAAUGGACUUCACUUAUCACAAUCACAUUAUGCCCUUACAAUUCUAGAACGUGCUGAUAUGGUUGACUGUAAACCCAUGACUAGACCACUUGAAGCACGAGCUAAAACUUCCUCAAAUGCUCCUCUUUUAGUGGAUGCCAGUUUCUUCCGGGGGCUUGUUGGCUCCCUCCAGUACCUCACCCUUACUCGACCAGAUCUCUCUUUUAGUGUUAAUUAUGUCUCUCAAUUCAUGCAUGCUCCUACAACUGUUCACUUAAAAAUGGUCCGCCGUAUCUUAAGAUAUAUCAAAGGUACUAUUAAUAAUGGUCUGCACUUCACUUCUAAAACUAAUCUUAAUUUCUCUGCUUUUUCAGAUGCUGAUUGGGCUGGUUGUCUUACUACACGACGUUCUACCACUAGCUACUGUGUCUUUCUUGGAUGUAAUCUCAUCUCCUGGUGUGCUAAGAAACAACAUACUAUUUCACGCUCUAGCACUGAAGCUGAAUAUCGUGCUAUGGCGAACACAGCUGCAGAACUUACCUGGUUGACCUACAUUCUACAUGAUUUACACAUUCCCUUGCUAUCUCCACCAGUACUCUAUUGUGAUAAUCUCAGUGCACUCCAUAUGACAGUCAAUCCUAUUUUCCAUGCUCGUAGCAAGCAUAUUGAACUUGAUUAUCAUUUUGUACGCGAACACGUAGCUCUUGGGAAACUUAUUACACAUCAUAUUCCCACUACACAUCAGAUUGCUGAUCUGUUUACUAAGCCGGUGUCCAAAGCUACUCUUCUUCGUUUUCAACACAAACUUUACCUCCAACCUCGGCAACGUUUGAGGGAGGGUAUUAACAGCAACCAAACAACUCUGCAGCAACAGCAGCAGCACAAGAUCCUCACCUUUGCUAGCAACUGCAGUAGCAGCAGGAGACAACAGCAGCAACACCACAGGAUCCUCACUCUCGUCACCAACCAUUCUGAAAUAACAUCUCCAACGAUUACUAUUCAGAAUGGUAAUUAACCAUACAUGGAAAUCAUAGUUGUGGCUACCUCAACCAACGGCUACUUCUCAAAGAAGGAAAUUACAGCUAUGGCACACCUCUCAUAGAAGGAAACUACAACUACCUUAUAUCAUAAACAAAUCAAUAUAUAUAAAUAAGGAAUAUUGUAUUCAUAGAAAGAAAUAAGUAAUGAAAAGGCAAUAGCUAAUUACUACUCUAUAUAUAAAGAGUAUCCUGUACAAAGUUCAAGUAAUAGUGCUCACGUUUGUAUGCUCAAUAGUAUUGCAGUAAACACAUAUUCUUCAUCUACUGCGUCCCCUGUUCAGCUUUUUCUCUAGCGAUUGCCAAGGCAAAUAGGGUGCUUUGUUUCUCAAACGCUGUAUCAUCAUGAAAAAAGUACGUAGUCGCAGUGCCAAACUUGUAUAAGCAUCACAUUCGCAGAUUGAAACCAUUCAGUAAUCAACGAUUUGUAUGUCACAGAGGUUGCAAAGAAUACAAUGGAACCAUAAAACCCUCUCAAUUAACAAAGCAAAGCUAAAGUAAUUGAAAGCUCUAAGAGUUACCUCGCCUCUUUGAUUGUUGUCGGUUCCCUCGAAAUCCAUGGCAAUCGUGAAAGGGUCAAUAUCACUACACUUUGCAAUCCAAAUGCCCUUGGUUGUUUGACCUCUGAAACGUAUAUAACUACAUUAUAUUCCUCUUUCAUGUAUACAAAGCAACAAGAACAGUCAAAUAUACAAAUUCUCAACUAAAAAUAAAAUAAAAUCAAACCUUCCAUUGUAUGCGCCCAUCUCCUUGAAAUUGGUAUGGAAGGUCUGAUUCAUUAGGGUGCUUUUCCCUGCUCAAGAAUAAUUAAGCAAAAAGCUAUCACUACCAACUUCAUUAAAAUCAAUGACUAUUAAGAAAUGAUUAAUAAAUCAACACGAAGUUAAGAAGUUGAACACUUGCUUACCGCUACUCUGUGAGCCAAUGAUGGCAACAAUAGCAAGAGACCGGACUGAGCGAACUCGGUGGCUGUCAUGAAGUCUUUGAGUCCAUCCGCGUUGAACCUGCCAUUUCCAUCAAUCAGCUGCAUGCCUUGCUCCAUUUUCAUUAACGAUCUAACUCAACCACAAUAACAACAACUCUUGAAGUGUCUUCGAUCCUUCCUGUGUUGGUGUUUCUGGGCUGCGGACGAAUCUUAAAGCAAAAGUAAAGUGGCACGGACGAAGGAUCCUAUUAAAAUAAGUCUGCAUGAGUCUACUUCUACUCGAAGAAGUUGUUUGCUUUUUUGCUUUUGAGUUCCCUCUCCAGCAAGAUAAUAGUAAAUUAUAAAAUAUUAGUCUCGCUAGCUGUAACGUUUUGAAAUAAUGAAUGGAAAAUACAAUAAAAUCCUUGAAGGCUUAAAAGUUGGAAUAAAUGAAUAAGGAGUAUUGUAGUAAUUCAACAAACUUGAUAAAUAUAAAUAGAAAAAAAGAAAAGAAAAAAGAGAGAGAUCUGAAAAUUUUGAGAGAGAAUCGACAGGAGAGAAGGGAGGAAGAAGAAGAAGAGAAAAGAAGGGAAAAUAAGGGAAAAAGGAAGAGAUUGGGAGGAAAUAAGUUAAAAGGUAAGAUUUAGGUUAUUUAAUGUGUAUAAUAUGUUAUUUGAACCUUACAUUUCAGUUUUGCUUAAUGUUAGGGUUUUAAAGAUUGUGUUUUGAGUUUAUUGAUUAAUUAAUUUGAAGGUUAUAAGGUUAAUUGUUGUGGGUAUUUGAUUAUUUGGUUGAUUUUGAGAGAUUGAAUUGAAAGAUGAUGAUCUUGGGUUAUGGUUUUGUUUGAAUGGUGAAUUUAUGUUAGAAAUCAGGGGAGAACAGUAGGUUUCUGUUAAAAUUCUGAGUUUGAGGUUGAAGAUGACAAAAAUUCAUUUUGGUCCCUCAAUUUGCAAAAAUUACAGUUUAGUCCCCGAACUUUGGGAAAUUACAAAUUGGUUCCUGGAGCAUAUUCCAAGAUUCUGAACAGAAUAACAUAUGAAUUAUGGGCAGAAUUACUGUAUAAUUAUGAAAUUUUAAAACUUUCAAUUUGGUCCUUCAAUUUUAUGAAAAUUACAAUUUGACCCUAAAAUUUUGGUAAAAUUACAAAAUGGUCCCUGGAGCAUAAUGAGAUAUUCUGGACAGAAUUUAGGAUUAAUUAUGGUCAGAAUUUCAGUAUAUUCAUGGAUUUAUGACAAAUUUUAGUUUGGUCCUCCAUUUGACAAAAAAUACAAUUUGACCCUAAAAAAUUAGAAAAAUUCCAGAAUGGUCCUUGGAGUAUAAUUAGAGGUUCUGGACAGAAAUGAGGAUGAAUUAUGGACAUAAUUCCACUAUAUUCAUGAAUUUAUGAUAUUUUUAGUUUGGUCCUCCAAUUAAACGAAAAUUACAAUUUGGCCCUAAAAAUAUGGAAAAAUAUUCCAGAUUAGUCCCUAGCUGUAAUAUUAGCUUUUGCAGAUUAGUUUGAUGAAUAAUUAAGGGUUAUUUAGUGAAUUAUUACCAAUUUUAUUAGUUGUUUUUAUUAUGGAUUAGAUUUCGGGAAAACCGUUAGAUUUUGAGUUUUUAAGAAAAGUAACUAGUUAGUUUAAAAACAUAUAGGGUUAUGGAAUACACCCUUAGUUAAGUGUAUUAAAUAGGUUAAAUGUUCUUUCGAGUCGUUUUUGAAUAUGUCUUCUUUGUAUUCAGAUAAUCCUGAUAUUCUACUGGCGGGACGUUAGUAGAAUUUCCUUCGGUAUCUGCUUUUGACUUCUGUUUGCUUUUGAGUCAGGUGAGUGGAUAAUUUUCCAUAUGCAUGAGAAAUAUUAUAAAUAUUUGGUAUGUGGACUUCUUAUUCUGACUGAAGUAGAAGAUGUUUGUGCAGGCUGUGCAUCAGGCAAACAUCACAGGGAGAAAUUCGACAAAGAGCAAGCGUGGAGAGCAAGCUAUCCACUGGAAUUAAUCCACACUGAUCUGUGUGGACCAUUGCAGAAUGAAUCUGUGGGAGGGAACAAAUACUUCAUCACAUUCAUUGAUGAUGACUCAAAAAUGUGUUGGGUAUACUUCCUCAGAAACAAAUCUAAUGCAUUAAAUGUGUUCAAGAAUUUUAGGGCAUUUGUUGAGCUGCAAAGUGGAUAUAAAUUAAAGAAGCUGAGAAGUGACAAAGGUGGAGAAUAUACUUCAAAAGAGUUUGAAGAAUUCUGUGAGAAACAAGGAAUGGAGAGGCAACUGACUAUUGCAUACUCUCCUCAACAGAAUGGAGUUGCAGAGAGGAGAAACAGAACAAUUUGUGAAAUGGCAAGAUCCAUGCUGAUAGAGAAAGAAAUGCUAGUAAUCUUCUAGGCAGAAGCUGUGAAUACAGCUGUGUAUAUUCAGAACUGAUGUUAUACAGCAUUUGUUACUGAAAAGACUCCUUUUAAAGCCUUCACGGGAAGGAAGCCAGGAGUCAAGCAUCUAAAGGUGUUCGGUUGCUUGUGUUACACACAUAUCCCAUCAUCACUAAGGCAGAAAUGGGAUAGCAAAGCUGGAAAGGGAGUGUUUGUUGGAUAUGACAGCUGUGAGAAAGGGUAUAGAAUAUAUGACCUGAAAACUGAGAAGAUUGUUUUCUCAAGAAGUGUGAUUUUCAGUGAAGAUAGAGCAUGGAAUUGGAAAAGAAAUCUGAUGAACCAAAGCCACUUGUCCUUCAAUCAUAAAGAAGGUGAAGUUGAAGGUGAAAAUUCUGAGGAACACUUGCUUCAACCCGAUAAUGUUGAACAUUGCAAUCAAAAUCUACAGUUGGAGAGUUAGCUGAGAAGAUUGACAGUGAUAACAGUCAACAAUCUUCACCUAGCUCUACUCUAAUAAAAUUGAAAACCUUGGAAGACAUAUAUGCAAGGUGUCACAUGUGCAUCAUAGAACUUGAGAACUAUCAAGAAGCUUUUGGAGAUAAAGCCUGGCAGGAGGCUAUGAAGGAAGAAUUGGAAGUGAUAGAGAAGAACAAUGCUUGGGAAUUGGUGGAGAGACCAAGUGAUAAACCUGUGAUAGGAGUGAAAUGGGUGUACAAAACCAAGCUUCAUCUUGAUGGAACAGUUCAAAACACAAGGCUCGCCUUGUAGCAAAGGAUAUGCACAGAAAUCGAAUUGAUUACAAUGAAACUUUGCACCAGUAGCAAGGUUAGAUACAAUUCGGACUCUUAUUGCACUUGUAGCAUAGAAGGGGUGGAAAUUGUUUCAAUUGGAUGUUAAAUCAACAUUCCUAAAUGGUGUUCUUAAAGAAGAAGUAUAUGUUGAGCAACCUGAAGGGUUUGAAGUAAACAAUGCAGGACACAAAGUUUACAAACUAAAGAAGGCCUUGUAUGGAUUAAAGCAGGCACCGAGAGCCUGGUAGAGUGAAAUUGAUGCAUACCUUUCUAUGUGCAAAUUUAAAAGGAGCACAAGUGAAGCUACUUUGUACACAAGAUCAGACAUGGAAGUUAAUUUGAUCAUUGUCUCAAUCUAUGUUGAUGACAUUGUGUACACUGGCAACAAUGAGAGGCUACUCAGUGAAUUUAAAAGGGAAAUGAUGCAGAGGUAUGAGAUAUUUGAUAUUGGACUCCUUCAUCAUUUUCUUGGCAUGGUAAUACUGCAAACCAAUCGAGGGGUGUUUAUUCAUCAAGGGAAAUAUUCCAAAUCUCUGCUUAGUAAGUUUGGACUUGAUGAUUGCAAACCAGUCUCCAUUCCCUUGGCCACUGGUGAGAAACUGAAGAAAAUGGAUGGGAGUGAGUUGGCUGAUGAAGGACUUUAUAGAAAAAUAGUAGGAAUUUUACUAUAUUUGACAGCUACAAGACCUGAUCUAAUGUAUGCUGCAACUUUAUUAUCACGGUUCAUGACUGGACCUACCAAGUUUUACAUGGGAGCUACAAAAAGAGUUCUAAGAUAUGUGCAAGGAACUCUCAGUUAUGGGAUUGAUUAUGUAAGGGAUCAAUCAGAACCUCUCAUUGGAUUUUGUGAUGCAGAUUGGGCAGGAAGUGAAGAUGAUAGCAGGAGCACUUCAGGCUAUGCAUUCAGUUUUGGAAGUGGAGCAUUCUCCUGGUCUUCUAUGAAACAGAACACAGUAGCAUUAUCAACUGCAGAAGCUGAGUAUGUCUUAGCAUCUGAAGCAACUGCUCAUGCCAUUUGGUUACGGUUUGUUCUUGAUGAUUUUGGGGAAAUGCAAGCUGAGGCAACACCUUUGUUCUGUGAUAACAUGUCAGCAAUUUCAAUGGCCAAAAAUCCAGUUUUUCAUCAAAGAACAAGACACAUAAAUAGGAAGUAUCAUUUUAAAAGGGAGGCUCUGCAAGAAGGAGUAAUUAAUGUGAAGUUCUGCAGAAGUGAAGAACAACUUGCAGACAUCUUCACAAAAGCACUACCCAAAGACAGAUUCAAGAAACUAAGACUAACACUACCAGAAAAUCAAUAAAUACAAACGGAAAUACCGAGGGAAUAUUUUCGUCGGUAAAUUUCCGAGGGAUUUUACCGACGGAAAUAUUCCCUCGGUAUAUACCGAGGGAAUUACCGUGGGAAAAAAAAUUAAAACAAAGCAAAAAAAAUAUGACGACGUGUCAUUUUUUACCAACGGAAUUACAUAUAAGAAACUUUAAUUGAUGCAAUAUAUAUCUGUAUAUAAUAUAAGAAACUUUGCAGCUAUGAGCAAUGGGGGCCUUAUCAUAGAACAGUCGUGGUCUUGGGACACCACGAGCAGCAAGAAGAUAGAUCAUGCUUUUAAAGCUUGAACAUCCCAACCUAAUUUUCCUUCUAGAAACUAGGAUAAAAUUACAUGAAUCGUCAAUAAUCGAUGGUUGUUUGGGAUUUUAGAACGUGAAAGAGCUUGCCCUGACUGGUAUGAAUUUUAAUAUAAGGAAAUUACCUUAUAAAAUCUUGUUUUCGUUUUGGAUUUCAUUUUCUCAAUGCCACAAAGAAGAAUUUCCCUGACUGCUGAAGCAUCCGAUUCCUUACUUAUGGAGACGUCUAAUAUAAAGAAAGCCAUUAAUAUAUAGGAAACUGAAUAAAAUGACAUGCAUGUUAGAAAUUAGUUUUAAAUUUAGUGGUUCUUUUUGUAAUUUAAUUCAGUUUUAAUCCAACCAUUUCCAGCAUUUUAUAUCGAUACUAACCCAUGUAUACAUGCGAGCAUCAUUUGUGAGUCUUUCGUCCAGGUUUGAAACUCCUUAGCAAUCAUACUUUCAAAGUGAAGGAUUAUAAACUAUGAAGUUUAUGAUUUCAAAGGUUGAGUUAAUGUAUUACGUUAGCAAUUUAAGGAGAGUACUCUUUAUUAUCAAACGAAAUAAUUAAUAAACAGAUAAUUAUUGCAUGUUGUCCAUAGUUAACAUUGCAUUACCUUUACAUCCCUUUUCAAAUUGGUGCAUGGCGUCCUAAACAAUAUGAUCAAUGGAAGCCUCAAACCCAUCUCUAGAUGCCUCCUUCACCCUCUUUACAAACCUGUUCUUAAAACUUUUUAGUGCACUAUAAUGCAGAUGUCGCAGCAUGUCAACAUAAGCUAGGUGUAGAACCUACAUAGCAGACCAAAAACUUGAAAAAUCAGUAUUACAAGCCCAUAAGAAACAGUAGAGGUUCCAAAUCAAGUUGAACAAGAAGUUGUUGUAGCAAAUUUGUCAACCUUUUUUCAACUACAAUGACUUUUUCAUGGUAGUAGUUGGCUGCACAUGGGUUGAGUUGGCUGCACAUGGGUUACUGCCAAUGCUUCUCCAUUCACCUAUAAAGAGAGUGCAAGAGAGUGCUGUGAAGAGUAGAGAAGUGCAAGUGCAGAGCAAUGUGUGUGAGAGUGAAAAAUACAGAUUUGAGAGAAACACCGAGUGUAAGAGUGAAACACUAGGUUUUGUGGGAUUGUAUUGGGGUUAAGUUGAGUGUUUGUAUCAUUCCUCCAAUAAUAUAUAAUCUGGUGCCUCCGUGGACAUACCCGGUUUUGGGGAACCACAUAAAUCUGCUUGUUUGUGUUUUAUUUGUGUUUGCUUUCGGUCCAGUAUGCACAACAAUUGGUAUCAGAGCAUUAGGGAAGCUUAAACACAGAAAAACACGUUUUUUCAGCUCUUUGUUCAAAGUUGCAUAAUUUUCAAAGUUAUCAGAUCUUGAUUUUGACCACCUAUGGAGAUUCCUCUCGUCUAUACGAGUCCGGCGAUACAAAGAUCAUCGAAAUCGGAGUUGAAACGAGCCCUGUAAAGCUCGCCGAAGUUUCGCCGGAAAUCUGCUGGAAAAACCAGACAGUGCCGGAAUUCUUGCCUGAGAAGACAGCCACGUCAUCUGACACGCUGGCGCUGAGCCAUCAUCCACGUCAUCAAUAGAGGCCCACACAGCCACGUCAGCUGCCAUGUCAUCUAACAGUGGCAGAAUAUUCCAUUAACAGAGACAGAAUAUUCCUUUGGUAGUAACAGAAUAUUAUCUUGACAGAAUAAGAAUAUUCCGUUAACAGAGACAGAAUAUUCCCUUAGCUGUGAUAGAAUAUUCUUUAUCAGAGACAUGAUAUUCCUUUCCUAAGUCAACUCGGUCACAUUGGUUUUUUGGCCAACUCAGUGAUUUUUUAACCCUUUAUUGGCCGAGUCAAGCUUGUUCCUAGCAUUUUCAACCGUUCCGGACGCAACCGUGGUGUCCGUUUUGUGAAACAGCACACCGAAGUUACUAUUUUGGCUCUUUUGAGCAUAAAAGUGUGUGUUUUAACAAUUUCGGGAGUCCAUUUGUAAUCCAAAGGCGUCCUAAUGGCUGAUAUUCCAGAAGAAAAAACAGCGGGGAAUGCUAGUAUACCUCCACAAUACAUCCCGGUAUCGAGUACCAAAUUUGAGGUGGAGAAGUUUGAUUGGAAAGGUAAUUUUGGCAUGUGGAAAUGUGAAGUUAUGGAUAUGCUUGUCCAAAUGAAUUUGGAUUUCACUCUAGAAGAUAAACCGGAGGAUUUGGAUGAGAAAAGCUGGGAGAGGAUAAAUCGGUUAGCUUGCAGUUCCAUCCAAUUUUGUCUUGUAAAGGAUCAGAAGUACGCAUUUUCAGAACAAAACUCUGCAAAGGAAUUAUAGCAAGCACUGGAGGACAAGUUUAUGAAAAAGAGUAUAGAGAAUCGUCUCUACUUAAAGAAAAGAAUCUUUCGUUUUCAGCACAAGAAAGGUACUUCCAUGAAUGAGCAUCUGAAUGAUUUCAAUAAAAUGAUAGCUGAUUUGAAAAAUUUAGAUGUGGAAAUUGAUGAUGAAGAUAAAGCUCUACUGUUAUUAAAUUCACUACCUGAUACAUAUGAACAUCUCGUCACCACUUUAUUGUAUGGUAAAGAAAAGAUUAAAUUCAUUGAUGUGUCCAAUGCUUUGGUGAACAAUGAGUACCGGAAGAAAGACCAGAUUGUUCACAAGGAGUCAACGUUAGAAGCAUUAACAGUUAGAGGCAGAACAAACCCCAGAAGAUUUCGAGGGAGAGGGAGAUCUCGCUCAAAAUCCAGAGGAGAAUCAUCAAACAAACGAUAUUUUGCAAAAGAUGAGUGUGCUUUUUGUCACAAAAAAGGGCACUGGAAGAAAGAUUGUCCAAGCAGGGGCAACAAGGAAAAAGAUGAACCAACUGUGAAUGUUGCACGCGAUGAAGAUGAACGAGACUCUGCAUUCAUGGUCUCAUUACCAGAAAAGCAUUCUGGUGAAUGGGUUCUUGAUUCUGCAUGUUCCUAUCACAUGUGCCCUAACAAGCACUUAUUCUCAAGACUUGAGGAGUUCGAUGGAGGAGUUGUGUUGAUGGGCAAUGAUGAUGUUUCUGAGAUAAAAGUGAUUGGGACUAUCCAUCUGAAGAUGCAUAAUGGGGUAGUUAAGACACUAACAGAGGUACGGUAUGUACCUGACUUGAAGAAAAAUCUCUUCUCACUUGGAGUCCUAGAAUCCAGUGGUUAUAAGAUUAUCAUGCAUGGUGGAGUCCUGAGAGCAAUCCGUGGUGCAUUAGUUGUCUUAAGAGGCACGAGGAAAGGAAACUUAUAUUUCAUAGAUGGAUCUACAGUCACUGGUACAACAGUUGUUUCCAAAAGCAUAGAAGAUGAUGAAGCAGAUAAUUCCAGACUUUGGCACAUGCGUUUAGGGCAUACUGGUGAAAAGGCUUUGCAAGGACUGGUCAAGCAAGGUCUAUUAAAAGGCGUCAAGACUGGGAAGCAUGGGUUCUGUGAGCAUUGUGUUUUUGGGAAACAGACAAGGGUCAAGUUUGGCACUACGGUACACAACACAAAAGGGAUUCUUGAUUAUGUUCACACAAAAGGAUCCUAUUAAAGUAAGUCUUCAUGAGGCUACUUCGAAGAAGUUGUUUGUUUUUUCUCUUUUGAGUUUUGACCCCACCAAUAACUGAGAAUAAGAAUAUGGAUGGAAGGUUAGAGAAUAAGAAUAUAAUUUAUAGUUCGCUAUUAGUGUCAAAAGAAUCAAUAACAUAGCAUAUCCAAGUUUAAUGUCUUAACUCGGCAUUCUUCUCUCAUUAAUUUUCAGGGUAAACUAUAAAUUAUUCUCUCUAGUUUUGCAAAAUGAGUUAAAUAAUACCUCUAGUUCCUGAAACUAUUAAUUAGUCUUUAUAUUUUAAAAUCAGCCUAUAACUUGAUUUGUUUCAUCCAUUUCAUGUUUUUUCCAAUUAAUUUCAUUUUAUUUUAAUUUUAAGUAUCAAUUUCAAAAGAAAAAAAAAAGAUAAUAUGAAGAGACUAUUGAAAGGAAAACAUUUUUGGGAACAAAAAUUAUUAAACAUAAUAUCAAAAGUUCUUACAAUUUUUAAAUUUCCAAUUUGAUAAUAAUAAUAAUUUAUAAUUUUACCUUUCAAGUCAAAUUAAUGGUUUUUUCUCGAUAGUAAUAAUAUUGUUUUCCAAUUUAUUAAUAAUUUUAUCAAUAGUAAUGAAUAUAAUAAUAUUAAUAAUAAUAUUAAACAUAUUUUACUCAAGUUCAUGUUAGUUUGACAAGUAUGUCAGACCAAUCGUGUGUCAUUGUCAGACCCAAAUAAUUUGGGCUUGUUGGUGCCAGACCCUAAUUCCUUGAGUAUGGCAUCCCCUACUAGACUCUAGUUCCUGGGGUUUAGCCCUGCUACACCCAAGUUCAUUAGGUCUAAUGCCCCUACCAGACCUUAAUUCCUGAGGUUUGGCCGAGCCACACCCAAGUUUUUGAGUUGGACGCCCUUGCCAGAUCCAAGUUAGUUAGGUCUAGUGCCCCUGAAAAACUCGUGAUGCUUGGGUCUGACAUCCUUUCCAGACCUAAGACACUGGAGUUUGGUAGUCAUGUCUAACCCGACGCUUGAGGUCUGGUCGCUUUUCCAAAUCGAAGCACCUUGGUCUGGAAGAUAUGCCUAACCCUAAUGCUUAGGGUCUGGCAGCAAUACCAUGCCCCGACACUUGCUUUUAACCUAGACACUUGGGUGUGGCAUCCAUAUGAAGACAACGAAAACAUCUUUACAUGCAGACUUGUUUUUGUUGAGUAUCAAGGGUAAUUUUGUAUUUGAACUGUUUUAAUAAAAUGAAAAGACAAUGAAGCCCCUCAACAAAGACAUAUAUUUUCCCUCCCUCUAGGGUGUAUUUAUGUAUUUUCACUGUUUAUUUUUUUUUAAAAAAAAGGAAAAAUGAAGCCCGCAACCCAAAAAUUAAAAUUUUAUACCUUGAAAGGCUAAUUAGUAUUUAUACCAUCGCCCAAAGAACCCGGAAGGGCCAUUCUAUCACCAAUCAAUCUUUCAAUGUCAAAUGUAUCCCAUGAAAAAGACAAUCUCACCCCUAACUACAUCCUUAGCAAGUUUCUUUGAUAAGAACAAAUAUAAUUGUUUUAAUCAUUACACUGUUUCAAUCCACAGUAAUUUAUGUCUCGAUAAAUAGUAAAAGGAUGAACAGUAAAAUAUUGAUCUUGUUUAGUAUAUGUAUAAUAAUAAUAAUAAUAAUAAUAAUAUAUUUCUCCAUAUAUAGCCAUUACAAACUGGCAUACCUAAGGUUAAGAAAACCACAGUUAACCAAUCAAAUGCAAUUGAACUUGACUAUCUAAAGUUUGGAAAUUGGCUCGCUUGAGUUAAUGCAAAUUGCUUUCAAAUGUGUACCUCGAAAACUGUUUUUAAAAGGGGUCUGCCGGCAAAAGUUAAGGUGCAGAGAGAAAGAAUUUCGAAGAAGUUGUUUGCUUUUUUGCUUUUGAGUUCCCUCCUAAUAGUAAACUAUAAAUUAGUCUCUCUAGUUUUGACUAAUGAGUUAAAUAAUCCCUCUAGUUUCAAAAACAAACUAAUUAGUUCUUAUGUUUUUAAAUUCACACCCUCAUCUAUUUCAUGUUCUUUUUCAAUUUAUUUCAUUUUUUAUUUUAAGUAUCUAUUUCAAGAGAUCUAAGAGAGAAAAAAAGUAGUACGUAGUAGAUAAAAAACAAUUAACAACAACGAAUUAAAUCAACUAUGUUGCUAAAAUAGUUACUUUACAAGUUAGUUACCCGUGAGUAACUUUUUCACAAUGCUAUUAAACUUGAUUUGUCAUGUGAUUCAAGAUGGUGUCCGGUCAACUUAUCUUUCGAUUUUAGUUAUAUUUCAAAUUAAAUUGUAUUUGUUGACUAGAUGCAACAAAAUUGAUUUAAUAUAAAAGUAUUGUGCUUUUUAAUGAAAAACUUAUUAUGAUUGUGAAGAAUUAAAAAAUUUAUAAUUUAUAAUUUUUGUGCACCAAUAUGACAAAAACAUUAGAGCAGCAAUUAAUAAAUUUGAGAAAAUUGUAUAAAUUGAUAAUAAAAACUACGAAAAUAGAUAUUUUAUUUUCAUCCAAUGCAAAUUAUUUUAAAACUUAUACAUAUGAAGCAAACAUCUAAUUAUUCAUAAAGCAAUUGAAGAUAUCAUCAUAAAAAAGCCAUAAUGUUCUUAAAAACAAUGGCAUGAUUUUUUUUUAUUAGCAUGUUUUUUGAAUAAAAGGUACCGAUAAAUAAAAGAAGAUUUUUAAAAAAAUUCAAUCAAUUGAAAUAACUACGGAAAUUGUAUAUCUUCAAUCUAAUCUCAUUUACCUAAUUAUUAAUGUAUCUCUUUAUUGUUUUAAUAAAACCAUGUUUUUUAAAUUAAAAACAUUGCUUUUUUUUAUAUAUUAAAAAGCCUACUAUGAUCUCAAAUGCAAGUUUUUAUAAAAAAGAAAAAUUGUUAAAAUAAUUUCAUAAUAUUUUGUACACUAUUAGAAAAUUGAAAAACACCAACAUAAUAUUUUAUUAAUGUUUAGAAAAAAACAUUAUGUCAAUAUUCAGAAUUGUCGAUGAAAACAUAUCAUCGACAAGUUUCUCAUCAAGGAUUUAUCUUCUGUCAGCAUUUUCAUCGAAAACUUUCAAUUUUGACUUAAAUAAGAUUUUACUACUUAUUUUUUCAAUGGCAACUCUAUUAGCACCUUAAAUGCCGACAAGACUAGUGGCGGAGGCAGGGGCCUCGGCCCUUGCAAGGAAAUUUUUCGCAGCUCCUUUCUUGUAUAAAAUAAUUGAAAUUUUAUUUUUAAAAAAAAAAAAUUCUUUUAAUUUGGCCCCUUUUAAUUAUUUUUUCUUACUUUACCACUGGACGAGACUAUCCAUCACCGAUUCUAUCAUAAAUGACUAAUUUUUUUGUAAUUUUUUAAUGAAAUGGGUACAAACAUUGCCAACAAAAUUCUAUUUCACUAAUUUUUAUUUUUAUUAUUUAGGUUUUAUAUUCCCGAAUGCAUUUUUCACUUUAAAAUCUCAACAAAAACCAAAAUCACAAUCACAACAAAAACGCAUCUCUAUAACAAAAACUUUAUAUUACAAAUUUCACCAUUCAUCUAAGGAUUCCAUACAUAAAUUCUUUUUAAACAAGAAAUAUAAAUUCCUAAAAAAGUGAAGGUGGAGGUGGAGGUGGAGGUGGAGGAAAAAAAUCUUGAACCAGAAGAUCUAGAAGCAGGAGGCCAAAUGUAAAGCCAUAUAUGCUCAUGAUUGCUCUCAAUACAUCCUAUUUUCUUAUACAAAUCAUGCUUUUAUUGUUUCUUUCAUGUUGGGCAACACAAUAGACAAUUGUUCCUCAACCAUUCUUUAGACAAGCUCAUCAAUAUCUAGUGAUGUUUUACCGAAAUGUGGCGUGCUUAUAGUUGAAGCAGUAUAGCCCACUUUUAUUUUUGAAGCCGAUGUUGCGGGCAUGCUAUAAACCAGAUUUUUAUCAAGUCCAAGUAAUUAAAGGCAAAAAACUAAAUUAAUAUGAUAAAAUAAUGUCAAAAAUAUAUUAAAAGUAACAUAAACAUAAAAUUUAUUGUCACCGAAUAUUCAAGCACAAAUUCUUUUAAUUUUUUUUUCAUAUUAGGUAUGAAAAAAUUAAAAAAAAAUGUUAACACUUCCAUAAAAACUAAUAACAUUAUUUAAGAACUAUAACAAAAUUGAACAUGCUAAGAAUUUAUUUGUACUGCAUCCCAAUUAAAAAUCUUAUAAAGAAAGAGAAAAAAACCUUAGAAAAAAGGCAUGUUUCAGACAAGCUUGUCCGAAGUAAGAUGAGGCCUAGCGUGGGGCCCUACAAGGUAAGCCUGUGCCUUUUCUUGAUUUUUUUCAAUGUUUAAAGGCAGAAAACAUGUUGUCAAUGGUUCGCUUUUCGCCGAUCAAGAGGUGGAUGGAAAGUUGAGGCAGGAGAAUACCCAUUUUUAAAUAUAUUUUUAUUUAAAGUACCUAAUAAACACAUUAAUAAUCCUAAUAAAUCAAUUUUUAUCUUAAAAAACCCUUAUAUUAGUAAAAAAACACGAAAUCAAAUUAAAAAAAUAAAUUCUUCUCUAAUUGAUAUGCUGUUGCCGGUGAGAUGAAAAUUCAAAAACACCAUAAUAACUUAAUAAGUACCCCCUCUAGCCAUGAGGAAUACAUUGAUAUCAAGGUCAGCCUGUUUGGUAGCUAGAAUUUUGCCCGAUUAAUCACUUUCAAUCUACUCCUUAAUUUUUCAACGACUUUCUCUCACCUUUUAAAAUCCAAGGAUUGAAACAUAAAACAAAUAAAGUUUAGAACUAAAAUAUAAAACCCAUAAAAAAACGAAAAAAGAAAAAAAGUAAAAUUAUAGGGACCAAAGUGUAAUUUUGCGUGCCCAAGUAAGCAUUUAUCAUCAUCUUCGUCACCAGCGCCAAUAUUAUCGCUGCCACCAUUUGCGGUCCUAAAAAACUUAACGCCUUUGGCACUUCAUCUGCCAAUCCUUUUAUCAAAACUGCCAACGCUUGCAAUACUACGUUCAUGAUCACUACUGCCACCUCCGGCUUUGCAGCUAUCCCAUAUGCCAUCAUCGCUAACAGCACUAACCUGAACAUCUGUUGAAUCACCUUUUCAGCUUGCUUACGAGCUUCCUGAGGAAAAUACGAAGCAUGACAUGUUAGGGUGCUAGUUAGAUUCAAGAUAAGAAACUUCAGUUGGAAAAUAAAACAUGUUAUGCAAUUCUGAAACAGUGCUGGUGCAUUCCAUAUAGAUAUAUAUUAGUUUCUGUUCAAAGUUCAGAAAGUAGAGGAACUUAUUAGCAAAAACUGAAAAUACAAAGCAAUUCAUGAUAAGGUACCUGAGCGGAUGUAGCCUGGUUCACUAUAUAUGUUAUGUCUGCUGUGAACUGUAUCCAUAGUGACUUGCACUGCACUGGUGUAAGCAGCGUAGCCUUUGGGGAAACCUGCCUCAUAUUCGAUUCCUAUCAGAAAUCACUUUGAUGGAUACAUGCGUGUGUUUUGCAUGGAUGAAUGUAUAUAUAGUGAUGUGCGUACACCAACUAUUACCUCUUCCCAUGUGUUAGAGGCCAGGGGAUCAACAGCUGGAACAGCACCCAUGAGAGACGAAGACAGUACAUUCUCAAUCUGAUCCGCUGUGUUAUCUAGGCGUAUGGCCGCCAUGACUGCUACAAUUUUCAAAGACUGCAAUAAAAUAGCCAUGAGAGACGAAGAGAGUUUUGUCUCUUAUAUUGCUUCUCCAAGAUGUGUUUUGUUUCUAUUCUACAUCAAUUUUCUUAUUUGUUUUUUUGCUCUCGUCCUCCAUCAAAAGUGCAAACAAUUAAACGUGCUAGCAACCAAUUAUUACAAAAUGUAGGCAUAUUACCGCAGAGAGGGCUCUCCUUUCAAUUUCUUCAAUGUUUUGUUCCGGAGUCCAAACCCUAGGCGUUGAGUUUUCAUCAUGAUUGAAAACCUUUGCGAACCUGGGACACGAUCCAAAGCUUUAAUGAGCAGAAAAGCAAUUGAAAGAAGGAAACGGAGAAGCAAUUAAGAGAGCACUCCACCUAUCCUUCAUGCGCAUCAAAACUCUUCCUGUAGCUGCAGAUUCUCUUGCCUUUCUCUCCACCACACUUCUUGCAUUCUCCUUCAAAUAUCCCAAUCUUUUGUCAAUUUCGGAUAUGGGCACCUCGAAAUCAACAUGAGCAUUUGAAAGUUCUGAUUCAGCAACGUCAGUCUUGCUCGCAAGAAGAUUUCUUACUGACACCCAUGUAUCUGCCUCACCAGCUUCAAAUAAGGAUUGUACUUCAUCAGCAAGCACAUCAGUGAAUUGUUUCUGCAUUGGAAUAACAUUAUAAGAUUGGGUUGUUUUAUUGAGCAGAGUGAUAUGCUUAGAUUAAGGAGCAGUAACGGAUUGCAUUAUCAACCGAGGAGAUUACCACAUGUUUUGCCAUCAUUUCUGACAGCAUAUGGCGACUAAGUUUUCCCCUGACUCCCGAACCAUUCCACCCACUCAGUCUUAUGAAAGCAUCUGAGACAGGAUGAUGAAGUAUUCACCAAAUUCAGGAAGCAAAAUUAGUAGAUCACACAGAACACCAAGCAUAUGUAAGCGAUUUUAACACCAUAGCGGGAUGGAUUCUAAUAGCAGCAACAGCUUCAGUAAGUUGCAGUGAUGCCCUUUACUUUGCCCAUUAAAUUGCUUUUUUCUGCCGUUUAUCUUAGCCAAAAAAUUUAUUAGAUGAAGUAUCACUUAGUUAGUUUCUGUGAGAACUAAAAUAACUUGAAAAGAUUGAGAGUUCGGAUAGAGAGGACCAGUUGCAAAGACCCUAACCAAAAGCAAACAAACAGAAAUGGCAGACAAUUCAGAUUAGUUCCACAGAAAAAAGUAAGGCUUUAAAACAUAACCUAUGCACACAUUCAUUGAGUCAAAACCUGCAUUUAUGCUACAACUGCCAUCAAAUGUGGCCUACGCCAUUCAGGUCCAACCAGUUUGAUGUGCGGAAUCCGGGACCGGUGAUGUACUGAUCAUUGCUCAUCGGAGGGGUAAGCACACUGAGACACAAUAUUUAACGUGGUUCGGCAAAUUGCCUACAUCCACGGGAGAGGUUCAUUUUAUUUAGAGAUAGAGAAAGAAUACAAUACAUGGAGGAGGAUCACAUCCACUCAACUCCCAUCUCUCAUUGCUACAUAGGGCAGCAGCUGCUUAAGGCAGCAGGGCUGCUGAUGGCAGCCCUUCUCUUUCUUUCUCUCUUCUUCUCUCUACAUGUCUCACAACUCUCACACUUUGCUCUCUAAGAUCAUGCCUCUUUUAUAGGCAUCAAUGGCAGCUCCUCUUGCUCCUUUGUCAUCAAUGGUGGCUGCCAAACUCAUCUCUUCUUCAACAAAGGUGGCUGCCAACUUCUUCUCUUCUUCAACAAUGGUGGCUACCAAAGUCAAGGUUGGUGGUUGCCACCAACAAGCCUCCUUCUUUGACAAUGUCAACAUAAUUGGCAAUAUUCCAACAAUCACCCCCUUUGCCAUUUAUGUGGGCAAUUGUCAUCUUGCUUCUUCAGCACACGCUUUCUGGAGCGUUCUGAAAUGGGCUCCUUUCAUGGCUCUCACACCUUCUCUAAGGUGUCUCCGUUUGUCGUUAUGCGACGGUCUAAACUAGGGCUCCUAUCAUGGCUCAUAGUUUGGCACAUAUAAUUGGGUAAACAUGUGCACCUUCUUCUUCUUCAUCUCCAUCGACCACCAUGAUGACCUUUAGAUGCCUCCUGAUCGGGCAAUCUCUCUUUAAUAAUUCACCAUUGUCAUUUUCGGUCUCAAAUCUCAAAGAUCGGACCAUACCAUUGCAUCCGGAAUGAUCAAAUUAGCUGGAAACAUGUCUUGAAUCGUCCAAAUCGCACUUCAGACGGCUAAGAUUUGAUCAAAACAAUUCUGGCCUGAUAAACGACUCAGAUUCAAUCUCAGAUCCGGUUGCACGUAGGAUCCGCUACAUUGGAUCCUAUCCCUCGGCUCGCGACUCGGCUCGGCUCCAACUCAGCUCGGCUCCACUCGGCUCAGCUUGGCUCGGCUCGCGGCUGAUGACAUGGCAGGUGGGUCCUGCUAUGCUGACAUGUUAGUUGACUAGUCAAUUGACUUGCUGACUGUGUAUGUGAUGUCAUCCUUGCAUCAUGAUGACGUCAUCCUUUGCAUGGCACUGUUCAUGAUACGUCACUGUUCAUGUCUACUGUUCACAUGGGUCGGGUCAACUCAUCCGGGUGAAGAAGACGCGUGGGGCGCGUUGGCGCGCGUGGGUAGACGCCUUGCCGGAGAGUGAUGGAGAGUGCGGCCAUGUCCGACGUCCGAUUUUGACGCCGUUUUCACCAGUGGCUUCGUAUCGUCCUCCUCUACACGGUGGGAUGGUCAAAACACAAUUUUGACAACUUUCAUUUUUGAGCAAAGAUCAAACACCACUUUAAACCAAAAAGCUCUGAUACCAUUUGAUUGGGCGGAAUCCGGGACCGGUGAUGUACUGAUCUUUGCUCAUCGGAGGGGUAAGCACACUGAGACACAAUAUUUAACGUGGUUCGGCAAAUUGCCUACAUCCACGGGAGAGGUUCAUUUUAUUUAGAGAUAGAGAAAGAAUACAACACAUGGAGGAGGAUCACAUCCACUCAACUCCCAUCUCUCAUUGCUACAUAGGGCAGCAGCUGCUAAGGCAGCAGGGCUGCUGAUGGCAGCCCUUCUCUUUCUUUCUCUCUUCUUCUCUCUACAUGUCUCACAACUCUCACACUUUGCUCUCUAAGAUCAUGCCUCUUUUAUAGGCAUCAAUGGCAGCUCCUCUUGCUCCUUUGUCAUCAAUGGUGGCUGCCAAACUCAUCUCUUCUUCAACAAAGGUGGCUGCCAACUUCUUCUCUUCUUCAACAAUGGUGGCUACCAAAGUCAAGGUUGGUGGUUGCCACCAACAAGCCUCCUUCUUUGACAAUGUCAACAUAAUUGGCAAUAUUCCAACACAGUUAUCAUCUGGGGCGAUGCUUUUCAUAUCCAAGCCAAAGCAGAAAUUUGUAAAAAUGAAUAAUUAUAGAAAAGUAAAGGAGUUUUAAAGCUUG